rnacentral:lncRNA from 1 species
CUGUCAUGCUACCUUUGUCUAUUUACUAGCAAGUGUUGGUUUGGAAGUACUCGCCAUACUUCCAUUGGCAUUUAAAUUAAGCAUGGUGCUCAGGUUAAAUAGCCUUCCUUAAUCUGAUUAGACAUGGAGUCUAGUUUGGUUAUUGAACUAAAAACUGCUUGAGUAGAUAUUGGUAUAUUUUGUCGGACUAACCCCUGCAGGAAAACUUUCAAUAUCGAUUUGGGAAGUCCUGAGAUAAGCUCACAUCAGAGAUGAAGAGAGUGACACAUGAAGUUUAACAAUUUGCACAAGAACGACAUAGCUCAUUCGUCAUACAGAGAUGAUCCAUGGAAGGAGACAAAGUACAUAAACACGAUACACAACCACUACGAAAGGAAAGCUUCCACAAGGUGAUACCAUACCAUCAAUCUUCAAUUAAGGUAACAUCUUAAGAUAUCUGACUAUCACUUUUAUAAGCCCCUCCUUGGUUCUGGUGUUCACAUAAAUAAAGAGACAAACAUAUAUGAUUUAUAACUCCAAAUUAACCAAACCAACUGAUUCAGCAUGUUUAGUCCUUUAAUCUUUGUUCCUAGUACUACCUCCAUGAUCCCACACUCCUAAUCAUAUGAGCUAAAAUAUUACACAUUCAAUCUUUGAGAGAUAUAAAGAAGAAGACAUAUACAUAGAUAGAUUAUCUUUCCAUAAGGUUGAGCGAUCUGAUCCGGCAAAUGUUUUAAAUGCUACACUCAUGAACUUAUCAUCCAUUAACUUUGUCUUGCUCACUAUGCUUAGGGUUAGAGAAGAACAAAUACCUUUAGGUUCUGUUGGUGUUUUCCACCAACAGGACCCAUGCACUUGAUCUCUGCCUUGUCUCUAUGAGCAGGUACACUUCGAGCAAAACAUGGAGGAGUUUUAUAACUCUCAGACUCUACCAAGUGAAGGACCUGGAUCUACGAGCACAAACACACUGAGCAGGAUACUGCCAACGCCGCACUUCGAACUGUUGGGCAAACGAAGAGGUGCAGACGUCAAGGUCUGCACCUGAAUCAAAUGACGCACCUGAAGAAUGAACACGCUGAGAAGUCUUGUUAAGAAGACUCAAAACAUUGAACCCUCACCGAAAGGUAAGAUCGGUAGUUAUCCAUAUUUAUCCUUUCUGCAUUCCCUUUUUCCUUUAAUUAUUUACUUUCCUUAAAUAGAUUAUUAGUUAAUCAUGCUAUCUUGAAAUGAAAAUAAAAAUGUUAAAAAAUACUAAGCCCCAUGUGAGUAUACGAGUGGCAUAAAACCCAUAAGUACCUUCACUGUGGUGGUAUAAAAAUAAAAUAAAUAUUUCUUUUCUGCUUUAUAAAAUAAAAUAUAAAAACAGGGAGUAAUAUUUAUUGAGGAAGCUCAACAUGAGGAAGGCUAGAUAUUUGUGCUAACACUUAAUUAGUUCCACAAGCUUUGUUGUCUAUUUGAGCUCCACAGAAUUUAAGAAUCAAGAAGACUAGGAGACGGAGGGCAUUCUAGUCGCUGUCAGAAUGCUGCUGACUUUCAAAUACACCUCUGCCACCUGCUAGCUACAUCAAGAGAAAUUACGUCAAAAUUCAGCUUGGGGGAGAGCACCCCCAUUUAUCUCGCUAAGUAUUUCUACCUAUCUUUAUACUUAUAUUAUGUUAGAAUAUUAAAAUACAUAAACUAUGAAAAACCAAAUAAAGAUUUUGUGCUUAUAUAUAUAUCUUUUGCUUAGUGUGUUUAAUAAAUAAAUAAAGUGGCUAUGCUAAUCUGAAUCUUAAUAAUAAAACUCUAGCAUGGAUAUGAUGAAUAGUUGCUCUGCCUAAUUUGCAAAUUUGAAGUUCUCUCUCAAGUUUAGACAUAACUGUUAUAAUUUAAAGCUUGCUCUAGAUCUAAACUUGUGGGAUGAAAACUUGAUCUGAAAUCUAAGUUGUUAACAGAUAUAAUAUGGGAAGGUUGAGCUGCUGUUUAUCUGUUCCUAGAGAUGCUAGAAUUUUGGAGAAUUUUAUCUUUGAAAAAUCUUUAAAAUAUUGCAUAAUGAGUUCCUGUAUGAUGAGAGUUUAAAUUCCAACCACAGCCAUAUAUACAUGCUUGCUAGACUUUGAGCAACACCUUUACUAUUUACUGCUUAUGAGCAUUGAGUGUGGUCAAGCUGUGUAGACCCUUAGGAGCUUGUCAUGUGGUUAAAUCAAGAUUCACUUGCACGUUCACUCAUAUAUGCUACUUCUACUCCGGAAGUACCAUCCACAUAUAUCCAUCAAUUUCCAUCUCCAGAAUCACCUAAAAAUAUUCUACUCCUAAUCCGGGAGAGAAUAGCCAAAAAUAUUUCUAUUUCCCUUGUGAAAUAAAUGCUCAAGUUAUCUUGCUACUACCACUUGCUAUAUUAUCUCAAGAGAUGAGUGCUCUGAAAAAAAAGAAAAGAGAAGAAAAGAAAAAAAAAUAAAUGAGGAAAUAAAAAGGGGCAAGUGCCCGGAACCUCGAAAGAAAGAAAAAGUGAGACGAGAGGUAAAAAUGGACAAGUGUUCGACAGUAGAAUUAGGGGUACAAGAUACCCAGCUGAGAGGAAAGAAAAAGAAGAGCAUCUCAUUCUCCUCAUAAAGAUUAAAAAGGAAGGAAGGUAUGUAUCCCCUCAAAAGAGCAAAAGUAGAAUUAGACUUUCACCAUUGUUGUCACCAUCAUCACCAUACACCAUUCAUUCACCACACAUGCACAUCUUGAUUUGGCUUAUUGAUUUGUUUCUUUGGAUCCAUGGUUUGACUAUACAAUAAAUGUCUUGUAAGUAUGUAUACUUUAUCUCCCACCUAUGAGCUCCAGAUAUUAAAGCCUUAUUAGAGUAGGGUGAAAGAGAAGGCAAUGUCACUAUGCCUUAUACCACAAAUACCACAUAUCUUGAGAGAAGGCAUAUACCAUCACUGCCUUGGUAAGGAUCCAGAAAUACCACAAAAGAGAGAUUUAGACAGUCAUACAAGGAAUCUCUGAGUUUUAUUUGAAAAUCUGCAAAAACUCCAGAGCUAUAGCUGAUCAAGAAUAAGAGACAUGGCACUUGGCUAGACUGUUCUAUCUUUUAACUACUCAAGACAGAAGUGACGGUUACAAGUCCCAUGGUGAAAGGUAAAGUAAGUAAGAUUUAGUUCUUGAUAGUUUACUCUAACUCAGAGAUGAGAUCUUAUUUAAAAGCAUUCGUACCGUCAAAUUUUUAAGAUAUUGCAACAACUUCUGAUCCAUUGCUAAGUCUAUCCUUGCUCAGGGACGAGAAAGAGGUAAGCUUGGGGGAGUUUGUUGAUGGUCCUUAAGUAUCAAAUUUAAUUAUCAAAUAAACAAAGAAAAGGAUCCAAAUGAAAUCAACAUAUAGACUUAGGGUUUUAUCUGACAGAAUUCCACGAGUUUUGGUGUUUGUUUAUUUCUGCAGGGGGUUAUCAGAAAAUACGAAAGAAAGGCCCACACGUCGGGAUUACAUAGAGAUAUUAACGUGCCGCACAAUUAUCUUACAUCUAGAAGACUCCAGAAGCCACGGGAAGGAAGCGGAGGCCGAACGGGGCCAGAGGCAGGGCGCCGCCCUCCUGGCCUGGGCGCCCGCCCUGACUUGGAGCCCAAUCAGGACUCUUUCUCUCGGGAGAUCUCCACCGACCUAAAGGAUCAAGAAUAACCGUUCAAUCAAUGUGGUUUGAUCCGACGGCCCAGGUUCACUUGAGGGGACUAUAUAACCAGACCCCCUGGCCCCUGGAGAAGGCACCCCUUGAUCAUUAUUCAUAGACAGAGCAAAAGCUAGGGUUUAGAGAUGAGAGCUCUCCUCUCUUCUCUAAACUAGAGUAGAUCUAGAUAGUAGCAAGAUGGAGAGCGAAGGAGGAUUAGAGGAGAGGCCGGCCUGUCGGUUCUUCCUCCGGUUGUACUUCGUCAUGAUCAAGCUCUAAUCAAGCUUGCUCAUGGGAUGACUCUGGUAAUCUACUUCUAAUUCAUUAUGCAAUUACUAAUCAUGUAUGUUCUGGUUCACAACUCUUUUGAGUACUUCUAAUCUAUAGGACGCUAUAGGUUAGAGUUGUAGUAUAGGUGUAAGCGAGGUGCUUAGACCUAGAUUACUUGUGGAUAUCCCCUGUCUAGCUGGAUCGUGUGGUAGGCCGCGUAGGUGACAGUUACGUUGGUCCUCUGUAGUCCACCUCUCGUUAGCAGGACGGGUAGGGUUUAUCGGCCUAUGGAUAAGCAUCCUUUGUGGUGUAAUCUUAUCACGUGGUUCGUCCCAGACAUAGACAUACCCCUUUGAAGUAGAGAAACCAUUGUUAUCCUCUCUAUUCUGCUACCAUCGCCCAUAUACUAGAUUGCUCUACUCUCUAUUCCCAUAUUAUCACUCACUGUUAUCUUACCUUUAAUAUUGUUCUUAUUCGAUUCUACCAUCUUUCCUAUUUACACCUAUUUACUUAUCUUGGUUAAGUUAGAGCGUAGAUCAGUUCUCCUGUUUCCCUGUGGAUACGAUAAAACCUUUAACCGGGUAAAAGCUUCAACGGUAUCCGUGCGCUUGCGGAUUAUCUGCGUGCGUAUAAAUACCAUAGUACACUCUAGUGCCAUGCUGGGGAUGACAACCUAGUAUUAAAGUGGUGUUAGCAAGUGUCAACACCGAUGUAGCAUUUUAACCGGGAAGUAUUCUAGGUAUCGUUAUUUAUAUUUUUACCACUGGGAAGGGAUUAGUAACCAUCAAUGUUGAUUAUAGAAUAGAAUAUGAGAUUGAGUAUCUAUCAUUGCAUGUAUUUGCUUAGAAGCUAGCAGCACCCCUCUACUCAGCAAUGUCUAAGAAGAAUUUAGAUAGGAUAAUGAUCCCCUUUGGGAUUGAUCUCAACAUCAUACCUAGAGAGGAACCUGAGAGCAAAGCUAUUAUUCCCAUAGAGGAGCCUGUCCCGCUAGCCAUUAUACCACCACAACCACGCUGCUAUAGAUAAUCCUGUUUUGCUCAGCCCACUCUCACCAUGCCUCUCCUCUUAGAUGGAGCUCCAUUGAAGGGCCCCAUCAUUGCUCUAUCGUUAGGGACCAACAUCCUACCACCGAAGAAUAACGAGAAGCUGUUGGGAGUGAAGACCAACAAGAAGGGGAAGGUCAUCUAUGCCAAAUACACCACUGGUGAAUGUACCUACUAUGAGGGGGUUCGCGCUCAUCCAUCAAAGGUCAAAUUCAUCCCCCCAAAGGAAGAUCCAAAGUCUGCCAUGGUGUUGACUCUUCUUAGCAUCACUCCUAGGAUUGUCAGUCCUUGGCACAGCACUAGAAAUGCUUGUGUGACACUAGAAGUGGCAAACGGUUUUACCGCAAGCGGAUGGUGGUCAAUAUAGCACUUCACGAGGAGUAUUCCACGUAUCGUAUGUUCCACGGGGAACGAGAAGUGGACUAACUAGACCAAUUGAGUCGUUGGAUGAUGAUCAAAGGACUUAGGAUUGGGUGGAGAGGUAUUUCUAGUAUUUGGCUUCAGGCUAACCUAUCCUAAGUAUACUGAGAGUUAACUCCCUUCCUACUGUGGCCGGUAGGUGAAAAGGGUGUGGUGAAACACUUCCCUAGGUAGCUACCAUGCAGGCCAACUAUUAUUUGCAACUUGCCUAACAACACACUGAAGAGAACUCCUAAUGUCCAGCAGAGGCCUGUCACGCUUCGCUGCUAGCGUUCUUCAGGUGCAACAAGAAGUCCACAAGGGCAGACUUAGUCUAGACACCACGUCUACACUAAUUCUACUACUCUAGACCCAGCUAAGGAUUCAAGCACUUCACACAAGGCAAAGCAAUGUGCUAGUAGGCCGGUUGUAUACUUAAAAUAAACUAAGACAGAAAGUAAAUACUGGAAGUACUCAGAUGAAAGGCAACUAGAAGGAAGACUUACUAGAAGACAAGCAUCCGCUGAGGCGCUCCUAGAAGAAGACACCCGACAAGCCGGGACUCCUCCUCGGGGAACGCCUCACUCUCUUCCCUCUAUUCUCACACUUAGCUAAGAGUAGCUCUUCCUAAGAUACAUCAUGCUUAACUAGGCUCUCUAAGGGGGUAUUUAUAGCAGGAGGUGGAGUAGGGGCUACUCCACUGCCACGUCAGCACUCCACGUGACCUCAAGCAUGCACCAUUGGAUAAACCGACCUUGGAACCACCAUAUGAUCAACGGUUGGGGAUUUCCAUCACAUGUUCAUCAUGGGGACGUCGGUGGGGUGUAACUGACCUUAGGUGCGCCUACAUCAUAGGUCGGUCGACCUGAUAUUUGUGAGGUGGGGCCACCCUGAGCCUUCUAGAAGGUCCUGGAGGUCGGUGCAGUGGAGGUGGCAGGUGGGACCCACUAAUGGUUGGUCGGCUGAUCGAGAUUUGGUGAGGUGGGCCCACCAGCCUUGCUCCAUUGUUGUCCCCAUCUGUCAUGGAGUGUGUCUUGUGUUCAUCUUCGGUCUGGUUCUUCUGGUGGGUCCAUGGAUCCUUGUACCUCCAUCUUUCACCCAUGAACAGAAACACAAGUGUGAUUUGAGGGUCGAGAUGGACUUCAAUGUGUUGCCUUAGGAUCCUGGAAUUGAGCCAGCACCUGGACCACCCCAAGAGUAGGUCGGCCGACCUGCCCUUGGAGGGUCUAGGAGCUCAUUUUCCCCCAAAUGUAAGUGUACCUGCAUCCAAAUACUUAGAGCAUAAGUGGAACCUCUUAGUGAUAAAAUAUGCCUAUGCUAUGCCAUUCUUCCACUAUUUCCGGCCUGUUGACGGUGUUUUCAUGUGUGGAUUUUAUAGCUUAUCCACCAUCAACAAGAUCCCCCAAGCUUAACCUUUGCUCGUCCCGAGCAAAUAAUUAAACUUGGUCUCGGUGGAUCAGGAGUUGCUGCAAUGUCAACAUUUCAAGAGUACCAUGUAUGCAACAAAUUAUUUCUCACCCAUUUACCUUAGUUCUUCAUGGGGCUUUUGGCUUUUCCUUUGACUUGGGCAGUUGAGAGACAGAACAAUUAGAUAUAGAGCACCACUUUCUUAUUCUUAGCGAGUUUCAUACCGGUGGUUUUUUCAAUUUUUUCACAAAGAAAACUAGGUUCCUCAAUUGAUUUCUCUCAAUCUCUCAAGUGGAUAAUGUACCUUACCAAAGGCGUUGCUUUUCUCACAACAUAUAGCUAAAGCUUUAUGUGGAGUUUUAGUAGGUGUGGAAAGUGGGCAUACUUGCUUCUUGUAUGGGGAUAAAUCAAAAACCAAACUGAGUUAAGAUAAAAGGCAUAUGCUAGACUGAGAUGUGCAAGUGUGUGGAAUGGAUCCUAUCACUAAACUAUACUCCUUAUAUGGCAUGAUCUUUCUCUCUUAGAAAAGAAUAUUUUGAGACAUGGCUACCAACUUUUCCAUUUAUAAAACACUUGGGGACUUUUGACAUCGGUGCGCCCCCUUUUUUGCCAUGUCUCCCUAAAAAGGAUACUGAGAGAAAGAUCAAUUUGAAAAAGUGGAUAGAGUAUUUUCCUAGCAAAAAUUUUGUUGCUUUCUCCCAGUACAGGAGAAGAGCUUUUUUUGUGGAUGGAAGGGUGCAUGUUGCGCGCGAUCCUCAGUGUAAGAAUUGGCUUUAUUUGGUGGGUGCAAAGUGUGUCUCAGUCUAAAGAUAUGACUCCAAUCUAAGUUAAGUUCAAUCCUUGACAAAACCCCAACAAUAACAAGCAGCUAUGGAUAAAGUAUGUGUAUAUAUAUGGAGCAUAAAUAUUUUGCCUUGGUAGGAAUUUUAUAAUCAUUGAGGAACCGUUGUUUUUAGAUAUUUUCCAAAUAAAUUCUCCGAUAAUCAUGCAAGCUUAGAAUAAAAAUAUAGCAGCUCUUGUCUUACUAUCUCAUAUCUCACAACAACUUAGACAUAGUUUUAGCACUUGCAACCCACAGAAAGAAAUCAGGUUCAUGGUGGUCUUAUGUGAGCCAAGUGAUCCUACUUAGAAAAAUACUAAGUUGCGUGCUAGAUACAAGAGAAAUUUUAACAGAGCAACUAUUCAUCAUUUCCAAGAGAAAGAUGGCAUGCAUGGCAAUAUUUUUGGAAUUUUUAUCAUAUUCAAAUAUAUAUAUAUUGUUAUUAUUAUUUAUUUUUAUUUUUUUACCAUAAAGCAUAGAACAAACUAAAAUUGCAAUAAAUUUAAAAGAGCCAGAAUACUUACCUUGGUGGGGGAGAGGAUCUCCCCCAAGCUUCUCUUCUCAUGGCUCCUCACUGAUAUGGUGGAUAGUUAUAUGGAUAUGGUGGAGGAUAUGAGGGCUGCUAAGGAUAUGGUGGAGGAUACUGUGGAGAUGGGUCUCGCUGCUGCUGUGGUGGCAUAGGGAUGAAUGGAAUAUUUGGUGGUAGUGGCCUCUGAUACUGUGCAUACAUCCUGUUCCAGCCUAUGUUGUGUUGGACUUAGAGAUCUAGGAGGGCUUGCUGGGUUUGAGUUGCAGUGUUCUGCAUAGCCUCAUGUCCAAUGCGCAGCACACCAAUUUGUUGGGUCAGCAUGUCCAUGUCAAUGCGUUGAGCACGGGGUUUAGGGUCAUCUGUGGGCACCAGACCUGCUAGAACAAGACAUACGACCAUUGUGGGCACCAGACCUGCGUCCUGAAUGGGGCAUCUACAUCCCACUAAAACGUCCCUCAUAGUAACUAUCAUCGUCAUCAUCACCUGCAGUUCGUGCUCUUGCACGUGUGGUUGGUCCUGCAUGCCUCAUAUGUCUUUUGCACAUAGGGAGUAAUGGGUUGCCACUAUAUAUUUUUAGUUCUUCAUAGGGCAACAAAAUUGUUUCAUGGGUGUUAUAAACUUUUAAAACACUGUGUUAUUUGCUCCUCCUGUAAGAUAUUGGCCCUUGAUAUAAAAUCUUUUGUGCAAGACAACUCUAGGAGUAGUUAUGUAUCUAUCAAAGUUAUUGAGCAGAUUACGGCGUGCACAAAAUUUUGUAACCACAGAAGUAAAUUCAAUGGUCCACCUCCUUGGUUUGGAUGAUGCCCAUAACCAAUGCUUAGCCAUUUCUACCACUGGUGAAAUUGGAAUUUUAUGAACCAUGGCAAAAAGGAUUCUAGUGUCAAUUUCCCUAACAAUUCUUAUGUCAUCUCGAGGGUACAAAGUGAGUCCUAUCCACUGGUGCAAGAAAAGCAAGGUAGGAUUGCAUAUGUGACUAGUACGUGGUUGCCAUCCCUAAUAAUUUUCCCCAGUGAUAUCAUACCAAAAUUCUUUCAUGUUCAUGUGCUUAGUGGCAUGCUCAAUUUUAAUGUUGGGAGUAUCAAAACCAAGACAUGUAGAGAAAGCAUCCCAUGGAAGGUCAAACUCACUAUUAAGCACUCUAAAAUAAUUUUUCUCUUUUGUUAUUCUUAGGGUGCUUAGAAAUUCUAGGGUGAGAAUUUUAUUUCCUUUUACAUUAGACAAAUUCCAAAAUUCAUCCCACCCCAUUUUCUCAAAAACUUCUGUGAACUCAUCAUCUAAGCCUAUGCUUCGGAGAAGUCAAGAGAUAUCACUUUGGUGUGAAUAAAUUCACGGUCGCGGAGUUAUUCAAGCUUCUCCAUCUCAACGGGAGUGAGCCAUAUGCCGGUUUCCUCAUCUUGAAUUUUCUUGGGGACGGCUUCUUCAUUUACUUGAGGUGGUGGAGAUGAUACUUGCUCCCUUGAUGCUUGACUCUGAGCAUCUUGCAUGGAGGAGUCACUAGAGCUAAGGGAAAUUCGAUGGAGAACCGACUUCCCCCAACCCCUGACUUUCUUCAUGAUGUUGAACUCUUGGAUGGUAAUGAUAAAAAGAAAAUAUUUUUGGAUUUUUGUUUUGAACAAAAGGAUGGUUAAGAAAUGGGUUUCUUGCUGGUUGGUUGAGUGCACAAGAGUGUGAGUGUGUUUGGAUGAAGGAGGGAGUAAGGAGAAAUGCUGGUGUGGAAUUAUGAAGGUCGGUCGACCUGCCCCUCUAGGGAUUUUUGCUGCAUGGUCGGGCACCUACCUUCUGGAAUGCACUAUGAGCAAAUGGCUGAGCUGGGUGUACCAGAGCACGGUCGACCAACCGGCCUUUCUCCACAAAUUCAAAAAGUGAACCCACCAGCAGCAGUGCAUGAGAGGUGGAUCACAAUGCAUGUGAUGGUGCCCUCCUUCAUGGGAUGGCCGACCAACCUUUCCUCCCCACUUUGCUUUGUGCCAAAGAUGAGAGUGAGUGGAGGUCAUUCCAUGUUGGGUGCAUGCAUAACAUGCCCCUAUUUUGCUUUGGAUGAUGGUGCAUGGCAUCUCCCUUUCUUGGAUGAAGUGAUGAAAGGAAAGAAAGCAAAAGAGAGGGGGCAAGACAAGACUAGGAGUUGGUGGCAUUUUGUGUCAUGACUUCUCACGGGAGAAUCCUCGUCAUCCUUUUGUGAUUAGCUUAGUGCUAAAUAUGCUUGCUUAGCCAAAAUGAAUGGUGGAUUGGGGCAUAAGUGAGGUUAGGGAGAAGGAUUGUCAUGAAAAUUUUCCUCUAGUCCCUUGGAUCGCUUAUGGCUAAUUUGUUAAUUCUAUUUUCUAAGCAACACGGUGAGGGAGAGCCACUAAUUCCUAAGAAUGCAAGUCGACAGCCACUUGUCUUACAUUCUUGCAACACUCAUCCUAGAGCCAUAAGAUCACAAAUACCAGGAGCUAGAGGGAGGUGGGCCCAAUAUCAUGGUUGGCCGACCGUGAUUUGGCAUCCCCCAGGCUCUGGUGGCACUCAAACAGAGCAAAAAUGCAUUGUGCAGUAAAACUUCUUUGCUUAAAGUCACAAAAGUUACCAGGCUAGCUUCAUCUAGAUUCUCUAGUAGGCAUAUGAAGCAAUUCAUGUCAUGAAAUUCAGUUUUCACUUUGGCAAAGACAUGAGCAUGGGAUUGUGUGAUGAUGGAGCAAAAUUGAGCAGGUGGACCAACCAGGGGCAGGUCGGCCGACCUGGCCCUGGGCCUCACCUUGUGGCCAUUUGCUCAGCAUGUUAAGCAGAGGUUGAUUUUAGGUUUUAUUAUGCACAACUGUGGUCAACAAAAAAAUGUUUUGAAUUAAGAAAAACUAAGAAUUAAAUGCUGAAAAUAAAUACUGAAUUUUAAAAGUUUGAAAACUCACCUUGGUUUGACUUACUGUUGGGUAUUUUAAACGCAAACAGAAAAAUCCGCAAGCGCACGGACACCGAUGUAGCCUUCACCCGGGAGUAUUCUAGAGUAUCGAUUUUCCACAGGGAACAUGAGUGUACUAAUUAAGAUUCAAGAUCGCCCAAGGAUAACUAUAUAAUUAUGUUUGGUGGGAAGAGAGGAAGUUUCCUGAGAGUUCUCCAGUUGAUCUAAGAAUCAAGAAUUACUUCAAGAUUAUCUAUUUCGGGACAUCAGAACACUAACCACAGAAAGAGAUGAGAAGGGGGCUAGGAAGCUCUGACUACGGUCCUACAAACACCGAUCCGAACGAGGUGGAAUACGUCGACCGUUAGGGCUGUCACUACCCUAGGGCUACCACAACAAUCCGCAGGAAUGGGUGCAAUUCUAGGUAAUUGCAAGACUAAAUACCACGUCUAAUCUAUUAAUUACUACUCUAAUGUUUCAAAGAUUAGAGCACUUGAUGCAAGCGGGAAUCCAAUAAAUAACUUGAAUGUAAAUAAAAGUAAUUAAAGAACUCAGGAAUUAUGAAUUGAAGAACCUGGAGAACGAUGAAGAACGAACCAGAUGCUGCAAAAGUAUAAUGUUGAGGAAGAUCCGACAGAUCUGACUCCUCCUCCGCUCUCCUCUUCUCUCUCCCUAUUUUCUAGAUUACAACUAGAACUAACUAGAACUAGAACUAGAACUAGAGGAACUAGAACUAGAAGAACUAGAGGGAUCCUCUCUACUUGGAUGAAGAAUUGAAACCCUAGCUUUGAUUCUGUAGAAGAGGUAUGCUCUCCAGGGGCCAGGGGGCGUUGCUUAUAUAGUCUUUUCAGAUGAAUCUGGGCCGUCGGAUCAAAGCGACAUUAAUCUCACGGUUUUCCUUGAUCCCUUAGGUCGGUGGAGCAUAAUCCGCAAAACGGGUCCGAAUUGGACACUAUAGCUGGGCGAGCGCCCUGUCCCUGAGCCCUCUCAGCCUCCACUUCAUUCCCGUGGCUUCUGGAGUCUUCUAGAUGAUAAAAAAUUGCGCGGCGCGUUAAUAUCUCUAUGUAAACCCGACGUGUGGGCCUUUCUUCCGUAUUUCCUGAUAACCCCCUACAGAAAUAGACAAACACCAAAACUCGUGGAAUUCUUUCAGAUAAAACCCUAAGUCUAGGUGUUGGUUGCAUUUGGAUCCUUUUCUAUGAUUAGUUGAUGGUUAAAUGUGAGCAUUAAGGACCGUCAACAAGCUCCCCCAAGCUUAACCCUUUGCUCGUCCCUGAGCAAAGAUGGACUCAAGAGUUUCUGCAGUGGUUUUAUGCCUUAAAGAUACACAUGCGUUCAAACAAGAUCUCAUCUCUGGGUUAGGGUAAACUGUUAAGAUUUAUACGUACUCAUUUUAUCUUGCACCAUGGGGCUUGUAACCGUCACUUGUGUCUUGAGCAGUUAAAAGACAGAACGGUCUAGUCAAGCGCCAUGUCUCCUGUUCUUCGAUUAACUAUAUCUCUAGAGUUUUUGUAGAUUUUCAAAUAAAACUCAGGGAUUCCUUGUAUGACUCUCUCUAGUCUCUCUUUUGUGGUAUUUCUAGAUCCUUACCAAGGCGGUAAAGGUGUAUGCCUUCUCUCAAAGUAUGUGGUAUUUUUGGUAUGAGGCAUAGUGGCAUUGCCUUCUCUCUCACCCUACUCUAACAAGGUUUUGAUAUCUAGAGCUCAUAGGUGGGAGACAACUAAUACAUACUUACAAGACAUUUAUUGCAUAGUCAAACCAUGGAUCCAGAAGAACAAGUCAAUAAGUCAAAUCAAGAUGUGCAUGUGUGGCGAAUGAACGGUGUAUGGUGAUGAUGGUGAUAACAAUGGUGAAAGUCUAAUUCUACUUGUGCUCUUUUGAGGGGAUACAUACCUUUCUUGCUCUUUUGAAACUUUUUGAGGAGAAUGAGAUGCUCUAUAUUUUCUUUUUUUUCUUUUCUCUCAGGUGGGUAUCUUGUACCCCUAAUUCUACUAUCGGACACUUGUCCAUUUUUACCUCUUGUCUCACUUUUUCCUUUCUUUCGAGGUUCCAGGCACUUGCCCCUUUUUAUUUCCUCGUAUCUUUUUUUAGAGCACUCAUCUCUCGAAAUAAUAUAGCAAGUGGUAGUAACCAAGGUACCUCGAGCAUUUAUUUCACGGGGAAUAACAGGGAUAGGAUAAUGUUUUUGGCUAGUCUCUCCUAGAUAGGAGUAGAAUAAUUUUGAGUGAAUCUGGAUAUGGAGAUGAGUGGAUAUAUGUGGAUGCGUACUUCCGGAGUAGAAGCAGCAUGUAUGAGUGAACAUUUAAGUGAAUCUUGAUUUAACCACAUGACAAGCUCCUAAGGGUCUACACAGCUUGACCACACUCAAUGCUCAUAAGCAGUAAAAAGUAAAUAUGUGGCUCAAAGUCUAGCAAGCAUGUAUAUAUGGCUGUGGUAGGAAUUUAAACUCUCAUCAUACACGAACUCAUCAUGCAACAUUUUAAAGGUUUUCAAAGAUAAAAUUCUCCAGAAUUCUAGCAUCUCUAGGAACAGAUAAACAGUUGCUCAACCUUCCCAUAUCAUAUCUGUUAACGACUUAGACUUUAGAUCAAGUACUUUUCCCACAAGUUCAGGUUUAGAGCAAAUCUUAAUUAAUAAUAGUCAUGCCUAAACUAGAGAGAGAUUUCAAUUUUGAGAACUAGUCAUGGCAGAGCAACUUUUAAUCAUUUCCAUGUGAGAGCUUAUCAUGAGGGUUCAUAGCAAACUUUAUUUAUUUAUUUAUUUAGCAAACUAAGCAAAGAUAUAUAUAAGCACAAAAUCUUUAUUUGGGUUUUUAUGAUUAUGCAUCUUUUUAUUAUUUGAGUAAAGUAUAGACGUGAGUAGAACACUUAGCUGGAUAAAUGGGGGUGCUCUCCCCCAAACUGGAUUUUGACGUAAUUUCUUCUGAUGUAGCUAGCAGCUACCGGAGGUGUAUUUGAAUGUCGGCAACACCGUGACAGCGAUUAUGAUGUUCUCCGUCUGCUAGUCUUCUUUGAUCCUUAAAUUCUGUGGAGCUCAAAUAGACAACAAAGCUUUGUGGAAAUAGUUAAGUGUUAGCAUAAAUAUUUAGCCUUUAUCAUGUUGAGCCUCCUCAAUAAAUGUUACACUCUUUAGUAGGAUCAUAAAUUUAUUUUUAUAAUUUUAUUUUUAUAAGGCAUGAAUAUAUUUAUUUUAUUUUUACGCCACCACAGUGAAUGUACUUAUGGGUUUUAUGCCAUGAGCAUACUCACAUGGGGCUUACUAUUUUUAACAUUUUUAUUUUCUUUUCAAGGUGAUAUAAAUCUGAUUAACUAAGCAAACUAUUUUUAAAAUAAUUGAAAGGAAAAGGAUAACUACCAAGUUUACCUCUUGGCAAGGCGUUCGGUGUUUUUAAGUCCUCCGAACGGGACUCUCCAUUUUCUCAGUUGUCCUGGGAUUCACUGGAUGGUGUAGUCGGUGGUUCGGCGGCACCUCCUCUUCGUGUAUAGUUAUCUUCUCUCUACACACCUGACUCGGUGCUACGGUUCCUCAGGACAGUUCUGUUCAAGCUGUAUGUCUUCAGACCUUACAACUUCUCCAUCAUAGUCUACCCAUCCGUCCUUGAUGAUUUUGCCUUCUCUGGUUGCGGUUGCGUCGUCUCCUUCUUGUCCUGAACUGCUUAGAGUCUUCAACUCUAUAUUUAGCGUCAGUAAAAUAGCGGUGUACCUUCUCAGAGGGGAAGUUCAUGUGGGCUUCUCCAGUUCCAAUGUAGAUGAUUGUUUUAACGGUGCUGAGGAACUGUCUCCCAAGGAUGAUGGGCGGAUCGUACUCGUCUUCUCCCAUGUUAAUAACCUUUCGGAAUGUCUAAUCUGCCAUCUGGAGCUGAAUGUAUGUCGGUUUUAGGGGCAUGGUUCCGAACAGGAGUUAAUAGGUGACUGGGUCAUCCUUUUUGUCAGGAACGGUGACUUAAGUCGACGAUCUUGACCUCCUUGAACUGCACGGACCAUCUUAGCUGACUUGGUCCACAUUUGCUUGUUCCUAUUCCUCCUAUUGGUCCUCUUCCUUGGUUCAUGUCGGGAUUGCUCUGAGAUUUGUGUAAUCUUGUUCUUGAAGGAAAACGUCUCCUUCCUCUUGAUGUAGAAACUGAUCUUGGCAGCACUAGCAUGGUUGACAGCUCCCGAGGUGUUCAGGAAUGGCCUCUUUGGACGCGGAGGUUCUUCAAUAUUCCCUUUGGGAAACCUGGGCAUAAUGUUGACACUGGAGCCAAAGUCGCAGAGUGCUUCUGGGAAGUCCACCAUGCCGAUGGAGAUCGGGAUGACAGGGCGUCCUGGAUCGCCUCUGAGUAGUUUGGCCUCUGUUGAUUCCAACCUUAAUUUUGUUGAGGACGGUUGUAGUAGUUGUUGUUCUUGAAGUAGUUUACGUCGUCAAGCAUCUCAGGGCAGUGAUUGCCUGAGUGUCCAGUAUCUCUAGUGUGUUUGUGCUCGUAGAUCCAGAUUCUUCACUUGGUAGAGUCUAGGAGUUAUAAUACUCCUCCAUAUUUUGCUCGAAGUGUACCUACUCGUAGAGACAAGGCAGAGAUCAAGUGCAUGGGCCCUGUUGGUGGAAAACACCAACAGAACCAAAAAUGUAUUUGUUCUUCUCUAACUUUAAGUAUAGUGAGCAAGACAAAGUUGAUGGAUAAUAAGAUCAUGAGUGUAGCAUUUAAAACAUUUGUCAGAUCAGAUCGCUCAACCUAAUGGAAAGAUAAUCUAUCUAUAUUUAUGUUGUUUUUUAUAUAUCUUCCAAAGAUUGAGUGUGCAACAUUUUAGCAGGGACAAGUUCGAGGCUUGGCCCAUUACGAGACAAGUUCGAGGCUUGAUCCGACACCCUUAUGGCUAGACUUGGGCCAGGAGGCUUGGCCCAUUACGAGACAAGUUCGAGGCUUGAUCCGACAGCUCGGAGUUUUGCGCAAGGAAACAAGACGUGGAGAUCAAGCAGGAUUCUAGUCGGUUAAAAUAGGAAUUGAUAUCGAACUAUCUAUGGCAGUUGUAACCGACUAGGAUUAGUUUCUAGAUCUGUAACCCUGCCCUCCGGACUAUAUAAGGAGAGGCAAGGGACCCCCCUAGGACAUCAUUAUUCUCUCAACACAAAUCAAUACAACAAGACGUAGGUAUUACGCCAGCUCGGCGGCCGAACCUGGAUAAAAAGCUUGUCCGUGUCUUCCGUCACCAUCGAGUUCGUAGCUUGCGCACCGUCUACCGAUAAACUACUACCGUGGGUAUACCCCAAGGUAGACUGUCGACCAGCUUUCGUCGACAGUGGCACGCCAGAUAGGGGGUGUGCGUACAGCUUUUCCGGCGAACAAGAUGGUCACCGUUCCAGCUUCCGCGGCCGUGCCUGAAGGCCUCACGUUCACUGUCGGCCAGAUCACGUGGACGACUUGCGGCGGUGGCCUCACAGCCACGGUUUCGGGAGAAACCCAGAUCCAAUCUGGGAUGACGGUGGCAUUGGCUCCGACCACGCAGAUGCUGGCGCCGAGCACCCGACCACCGCUUCCGCACUACAAGGGAAAGAAGAUCGAUGGCUCGGAUCUUCUCCGAGCCCUUGAUCGCGCUGAUUCGAAGCUUCUCGAAGCUUCCCGACUAGUAGAUGGGAUCUCGCGUCAGCCUGACCAAGCAGCGCCGACGGGUUUUUUCAACACCUACCGGCCAACUCGUGUCGUCACACACGAACGGUUGGGAAUGUCUCUGAUGAUAACCUCCACCCCCUCAGGACGGUCCGUUAAGCUCGAGGCUGAUCCGGAGCAAGGUUAUCCUUGCGGUCUGAACAACUCGGCCUCUCUCUACUCGCGGCACAUCCAAUCCCUCUUCAACGAGGCUGGUUGGUUGCCAAAGUGGAGCGGUCGACCAGCUCGUCACUACGUCAACAUGGUGACGAUCCGAGAACUACGGGACGGCCAGGUUUCCAGCAUAAAUUCGAGCACCGGUUCCGUUCCUACUGAAGUCAUAAACUCCGAGGACGAGGACUACGACCUGGAUUUGCCACCAUAUCCUCUGGGUUUCUCUCGCUUCCCAGUCUUCCUACCCCGGCGAGGGGACCUCAUUUUCAACGUCAGCGCCGACGAGCCGGUCAUCGAUGGAGAAACAGACGAGCAAAGGCAGCUCCGCGAGCAGCGCAAUGCCGACCGCGCCCGAUGAUGCGCGGACGAAGAACGCCAACUCCCGCCGCAUAAUCUCAUCGACGCCUUCGACAUCGUCGGGGAUCAGCCAGUCUACAAAACGUCAAGUGCCAACGUGGCCGUCGCCAUGGCCAAUUUGGAUCGACACCCUGAUACUCCCGAAUGCCAGGGCGUCCGAUCCAGCGUUCGAGCACACCUGAUCGCCGCGAUGGGACAGACAGCCACUCUGCUCAAAAGAGUCCAAGCUAUCUCCUAUGCAGAGGUCUCCUCCGACCAGACCCAUCGCAGCCGGACCUAACCACAACCCAGCGACCACCACCGCAGCCGUUCCCCUAACGAUCAUCAAAAAGAUUCACGGUGUGACAAUGGUGGUCAGGACGCUGGCGGCUACCGCGAACAGAAUCACAGGUGUGGUCAGGAAGUAAACCAGCAUAGGGAUCUCCGAUACAAUAUCCCUCCCAAAGACGCCCGGGACCGCAUAAACAGGCGCGCCGCGGAAAGAGCAGUUCACGAAAACCUGCGUCGCAUUGAGUACGAUGCAACGCACGGUCCUCCGGGCUUGAGACAGUUCUCUUCACACCUCCGCCAGGUCGUGUGGCGCCGCAAUUUCAAGCUCGAGAAACUCAAAAAAUACGACAGCAAGGAAAACCCAGAGAACUGGAUCACUCUUUACGAGAUCGCCGUCCGAUCAGCAGCAGGAGAUGAGCACGUCAUGGCCAACUACUUCCCAGUAGUCCUCGACCAGGCUGGUCACCAGUGGCUCCUAGGCCUGCCCGAGGACUCUUUCGACUCUUGGGAGGAACUACGCCAAGCUUUCAUCAACAACUUCAUCGCCACCUGCGAGCAGCCUGGGAACAAGUACGACCUCAAAAGGAUAAGGGACAGGAAAAACGAGCCUCUGCGCGAUUACAUCCGAUGAUUCUCGGAUAUGCGCCUUAAGAUCUCGAAGAUUUCCCACGACGAGGCCAUAUCUGCUUUCAUCAAAGGGCUGCGCUUCCACGAAGCACUGAGGAACAAGCUACUGCGCAAAAGGCCAACAACGAUGGCAGAGCUCCUCGCCACGGCUAAAAAUUAUGCCGACGCCGACGACGCAGAAAAACUCAUCCGAGAUGAUGCCAGAGGUCCCGACCAGCCUCCUCGGCGUGACGACAGUCGCGGCCGCUUCGACAAUAGGAACCAUCGUUGCCCCGACAACCGGGACCACAGAGAAGGCUGGGAUAGGCGGCGUGACAAUCGCGACGAUUUCAGAGGCAAGCGCCCUCGCGACCACGACCACGAGGUAAAUACGGUCAAACAUCCCAAUGGGCGGCGAGACUACCAGGAACACUACAACAAGACGUUGAAGGGACCAUGCCAACUGCAUCCAAAGUCCAACCACACCAUGGAGGAAUGUCGCAUCCUAAAAAGCAUCUACACACGGCGGGCUGCUCAAGACGACCCCGCCAAGAAAAAUGGGAAACAGGACGGGUGCGAUCAUGAAGACGAAGACAACGACCAGGAUAGGGACCCCCGACACCAGUAUGUCAGUCCCACAGACGUGGUCCACUCCAUCUUCGGGGGCAAGGUCUCCAUCGAGUCCAAGCGAGAAAGAAAGCUCUUAAAGAGAGCCUGCCUCAACAUAGACAGCACAGAUGGCCUUAUCGCCGAUCCGAAAUUUCCUCCCUGGUCGCAUAGGGAAAUCUCCUUCAGCAGGAAGGAUCAGAGGGCCGUUAUCCCGGAGCCAGGUCGUUUUCCUCUAAUCUUGGACCCUUGCAUCAACAGUAUCAGAUUUGAGCGCGUGCUCGUGGACGGAGGAAGUUCAAUUGACAUCCUCUUUCGCAACAGCUUGCCCGCCCUCAAGAUAUCUCCGGCACAGCUAAAACCCUACGACGCUCAAUUUUGGGGAGUCUUGCUAGGUCAGAGUUCAGUGCCCCUCGGACAGAUAACACUGCCUGUCCAAUUUGGCACGUCCGACCACUUUCGAACAGAGUUCGUCAACUUUGUGGUCGCCGACUUCGAUGGGACUUACCACGCUAUACUGGGCCGACCAUCGCUGACAAAGUUCAUGGCAGUUCCAUAUACUCAUACUUGGUCCUCAAAAUGCCUACAGAGAAGGGCGUCCUAACCGUCAGAGGCAAUGUCUACACUGCAUAUACUUGCGAGGAGGAGAGCUUCAAGAUCACCGAAGCAAUUGAUCUUUCAAUUCGCAUGGAAGAAACAGCAGCCCAAGCUGUACAGCUCUCUCCCGACCAGCUCCGACUACCCGAGCAGUAGACCGCCAGGAAGAAUUCAAAAUCCAAGGAGUACAAGGAAGUACAGCUGGUUGAAGGCAGCCCCGAGAAGACGGCCCUCAUCGGGGCCAACUUGGGUCCAAAAUAGGAAGACGCGCUCGUCAGGUUUCUAAGGGACAACGUGAGCGUUUUCGCAUGGAAACCCGCAGACAUGCCCGGCGUCUCACGAAACCUGAUCGAGCACUCCUUAAACGUCUCAAAGACCGCAAGACCCAUCAAGCAAAAGCUACGACGGUUCGCUCGUGACAAAAAGGAGGCUAUUAGGACAGAAAUAACACGACUUCUAGCAGCCAGAUUUAUAAAAGAAGUGUAUCAUCCCGAUUGGCUCGCCAAUCCGGUUCUUGUAUGCAAAAAUAAUAAUGAAUGGAGAAUGUGCGUUGAUUACACUGAUCUCAAUAAACAUUGUCCUAAAGAUCCUUUCGGUCUCCCUCGCAUCGACGAGGUGGCCGAUUCAACGGCCGGAUGCGAACUCCUCUCUUUUCUGGACUGCUACUCUGGUUAUCACCAGAUCUCGUUAAAGGAAGAUGAUCAGAUCAAAACAUCUUUUAUUACUCCUUUCGGCGCAUAUUGCUACACGACCAUGUCCUUCGGACUCAAAAAUGCCGGAGCCACCUAUCAACGAGCCAUCCAACAAUGCCUCCACGACAAGAUUCGUGAUGACCUCGUCGAGGCUUAUGUAGACGACGUCGUCGUCAAAACAAGGGAUGCAAGCACCUUAAUCGACAACUUAGACCGAACCUUUAAGGCGCUAAACAAGUACAAGUGGAAGCUUAACCCCAAAAAGUGCAUCUUUGGGGUCCCUUCUGGUCUACUACUCGGCAACGUCGUCAGCCGCGACGGCAUACGACCGAACCCUUCAAAAGUAAAAGCAGUGCUCGACAUGCGACCACCUAAGAAUGUCAAGGAUAUUCAUAAGCUCACCGGAUGUAUGGCCGCUCUCAGCCGCUUCAUUUCAAGACUAGGAGAAAAAGGCUUGCCUUUCUCCAAACUCUUGAAGGCGUCGGAAAAAUUCUCCUGGACAGAAGUGUGGGGGUAUAAACCCCUAUACCCUUACGGCCAGACUUGGGCCAGGAGGCUUGGCCCAUUACGAGACAAAUUCAAAGGCUUGAUCCGAUAGCUCGGAAUUUCGCGCAAAGAAACAAGACGUGGAGAUCAAGCACGAUUCUAGUCGGUUAGAAUAGGAAUUGAUAUCGAACUAUCCAUGGCAAUUGUAACCGACUAGGAUUAGUUUCCAGAUCUGUAACCCUGCCCUCUGGACUAUAUAAGGAGGGGUAAGGGACCCCCCUAGGACACAUUAUUCUCUCAAUCCAAUACAAUCAGACGCAGGACUUAGGUAUUACGCCAACUCGGCGGCCGAACCUGGAUAAAAAGCUUGUUCGUGUCUUGCGUCACCAUCGAGUUCGUAGUUUACGCACUAUCUGCCGAUAAACUACUACCGUGGGCAUACCCCAAGGUAGACUGCCGACCAGCUUUCGUCGACAGUGGCGCGCCAGGUAGGGGGUGUGCGUACAACUUCUCCGACGAACAAGAUGGUCAUAGUUCCAGCUUCCGCGGCCGUGCCUGAAGGCCUCACGUUCACCGUCGGCCAGAUCACGUGGACGACGCGCGGCGGUGGUCUCACGACCACGGUUUCGGAAGGAACCCAGAUCCAAUCUGGGAUGACGUCGGCUCCGACCACUCGGAUGACGGCACCGAGCGCCCGACCACCACUCCCGCGCUACAAGGGGAAGAAGAUCGACUGCUCGGACCUUCUCCAAGCACUUGAUCGCGCUGAUUCCAAGCUACUUGAAGCUUCCAACUAGUAGAUGGGAUCUCGCGCCAGCCUGAUCAAGCCGCUCUAACGGAUUUUUUCAACUCCCACCGGCCAACUCGUGUCGUUACACACGAACGGCUGGGAACGUCUCUGACGACAACCUCAACUCCCUCAGGACGAUCCGUCAAGCUCGAGGCUAACCCGGAGGAGGAUUAUCCUUGCGGCCUGAACAACUCGGCCUCUCUCUACUCACGGCACAUCCAAUCCCUUUUCAACAAGGCGGGUUGGCUGCCGAAACGGAACGGUCGACCAGCUCGUCACUACGUCAACAUGGUGACGAUCCGAGAACUAUGGGACGGCCAGGCUUCCAGCACAAAUUCGAGCACUGGUUCCGUCCCCACCGAGGUCAUAAACUCCGAAGACGAGGACUACGACCUGGAUUUGCCUUCACAUCCUCUGGGCUUCUCUCGUUUCCCGGUCUUCCCACCCCGGCGAGGAGACAUUGUUUUCAAUGUCAGCGCCGACGAGCCGGUCAUCGAAGGAGAAACAGACGAGCAGAGGCAGCUCCGUGAGUAGCGUAACGCCGAUCGCGCCCGACGACGCGCGGACGAGGAACGUCAAAUCCCGCCGCAUAAUCUCAGCGACGCUUUCGACAUGGUCGGGGAUCAGCCAGUUUAUAAAAUGCCAAGCGCCAAUGUGGCUGUCCCCAUGGCCAAUUUAGAUCGGCUCCCUGAUACUCCCGAGUGCCAGGGCGUCCGAACCAGUGUUCGAGCACAUCUGAUCGCCGCGAUGGGACAGACAGCCACUCUGCUCAAAAGAGUCCAAGCCGUCUCCUAUACGGAGGCCACCUCCGACCAGACUCACCGCAGCCGGACCUCACCGCAGCCCAGCAGGCACCACCGCAGCCGUUCCCCCGACAAUCAUCGAAAAGAUUCACGGCGUGACGACGACGGUCGGGAUGCUGGCGGUCACCGCGAGCAGAAUCGCAGGCGUGGUCAAGAAGUAAACUAGUACAGGGAUCUUCGAUACAACAUCCCUCCCAAAGACGCCCGGGACCGUAUCAACAGGCGCGCCACAGAGAGAGCAGUUCACGAAAACUUGCGUCGUAUUGAGUACGAUGCAACGCACGGCCCCCCGGGCCUGAAGCAGUUCUCUUCACACCUCCGCCAGGUCGUGUGGCCGCGAAAUUUCAAGCUUGAGAAACUCAAAAAAUACGAGGGCAAGGAAAACCUAGAGAACUGGAUCACUCUUUACGAGAUCGCCGUCCGAUCAGCAGCAGGAGAUGAGCACGUCAUGGCCAACUACUUUCCAGUAGUCCUUGACCAGGCUGGUCACCAGUGGCUCCUAGGCCUGCCCGAGGACUCUUUCGACUCCUGGGAAGAACUAUGCCAAGCCUUCAUCGACAACUUCAUCGCCACCUGCGAGCAGCCUGGGAACAAGUACGACCUCGAAAGGAUAAGGUAUAGGAAAAACGAGCCUCUGCGCGACUACAUCCGACGAUUCUCGGAUAUGCGCCUAAAGAUCCCGAAGAUUUCCCACGACGAGGCUAUAUCUGCUUUCAUCAAGGGGCUGCGUUUCCACGAAGCACUGAGAAACAAGCUACUGUGCAAAAGGCCAGCAAUGAUGACAGAGAUCCUAGCCACGGCCAAAAAUUAUGCCGACGCCGAUGACGCAGAAAAACUCAUCCGACAUGACACCAGAGGUCCCGACCAGCCUUCUCGGCGUGACGACAGUCGCGGCCGUUUCGACAACAGGAACCAUCGUCGCCCCAACAACCAGGACCACAGAGAAGGCUGGGACAGGCGCCGUGACAAUCGCAACGAUUUCAGAGGCAAGCGCCCUCGCGAUCACGACCACGAGGUGAAUACGGUCAAGCGCCCCAACGGACGGCGGGAUUACCAAGAAGACUACAACAAGACGUUGAAGGGACCAUGCCAACUGCAUCCAAAAUCCAACCACAGCAUGGAAGAAUGCCGCGUCCUCAAAAGCAUCUAUAUGCGGCGAGCAGCUCAAGACGAUCCCUCCAAGAAAAACGGGAAACAAGACGGGCGCGAUCACAAAGACAAGGAUGAAGACCAGGAUAGGGACCCACGACACCAGUAUGUCAGUCCUACUGACGUGGUCCAUUCUAUCUUCGGAGGCAAGGUCUCCAUCGAGUCUAAACGAGAAAGAAAGCUCUUAAAGAGAGCCUGCCUCAACAUAGACAACACUGAUGGCCUGAUCGCCGAUCCAAAAUUUCCUCCCUGGUCGCACAGGGAAAUCUCCUUCCGCAGGAAGGAUCAGUGGGCCGCUAUCCCGGAGCCAGGUCGUUUCCCUCUAAUCUUGGACCCUUGCAUCAACAGCAUCAGAUUCGAGCGCGUGCUCGUGGACGGAGGAAGCUCCAUUGACAUCCUCUUCCGCAACAGCCUGCCCGCUCUCAAGAUAUCUCCGGCACAAUUAAAACCCUACGAUUCUCAAUUCUGGGGAGUCUUGCCAGGUCAGAGUUCAGUGCCCCUCGGACAGAUAACAUUGCCUGUCCAAUUUGGCACGCCCAACCACUUUCAAACAGAGUUCGUCAACUUUGUGGUCGCCGACUUCGAUGGGACCUACCACGCUAUACUGGGCCGACCAUCGCUGACAAAGUUCAUGGCAGUCCCGCAUUACUCAUACCUGGUCCUCAAAAUACCUACGGAGAAGGGUGUCCUAACCGUCAGAGGCAAUGUCUACACUGCAUAUACAUGCGAAGAGGAGAGCUUCAAGAUCACCGAAGCAAUUGAUCUCUCAAUACGCAUGGCAGAAAUAGCAACCCAAGCCGCACAGCUACCUCCCGACCAGCUCCGACUACCCGAGCAGGAGACCGCCAGGAAGAAUUCAAAAUCCAAGGAGUAUAAAGAAGUACAACUGGUCGACGGCAGCCCCGAGAAGACGGCCCUCAUCAGGGCCAAUCUGGACCCCAAAUAGGAAGACGCGCUCGUCAGGUUUCUAAGGGACAACGUGAGCGUUUUCGCAUGGAAACCCACAGACAUGCCUAGCGUCCCACGAAACCUGAUCGAGCACUCCUUAAACGUCUCGAAGACUGCAAGACCCAUCAAGCAAAAGCUGCGACGGUUCGCUCGUGACAAAAAGGAGGCUAUUAGGACAGAAAUAACACGGCUUCUAGCAGCCGGAUUUAUAAAAGAAGUGUAUCAUCCCGAUUGGCUUGCCAAUCCGGUUCUUGUACGCAAAAAGAAUAAUGAAUGGAGAAUGUGCGUUGAUUACACUGAUCUCAAUAAACACUGUCCUAAAGAUCCUUUUGGUCUCCCUCACAUCGACGAGAUGGUCGACUCAACGGCCGGAUGCGAACUCCUCUCCUUCCUAGACUGCUACUCUGGUUAUCACCAGAUCUCGCUAAAGGAACACGAUCAGAUCAAAACGUCUUUCAUUACUCCUUUCGGCGCAUACUACUACAUGACCAUGUCAUUCGGACUCAAAAAUGCCGGAGCCACCUAUCAAAGGGCCAUCCAGCAAUGCCUCCACGACGAGAUUCGUGAUGACCUCGUCGAGGCCUAUGUAGAUGACGUCGUCGUUAAAACAAGGGAUGCAAGCACCCUAAUCGACAACUUAGACUGAACCUUUAAGGCGCUAAAUAGGUACAAGUGGAAGCUUAACCCCAAAAAGUGCAUCUUUGGUGUCCCUUCUGGUCUACUACUCGGCAACGUCGUCAGCCGUGACGGCAUACGGCCAAAUCCUUCAAAAGUAAAAGCAGUACUUGACAUGCGACCACCUAAGAAUGUUAAGGAUAUUCAGAAGCUCACCGGAUGUAUGCCCUCUCUCAGCCGCUUCAUCUCAAGACUACGAGAAAAAGGCCUCCCUUUCUUCAAACUCUUGAAGGCGUCAGAAAAAUUCUCCUGGACAGAAGAGGCUGACGCUGCGUUCACCCAGCUUAAGACUUUCCUCACUUCACCGCCUGUUCUCACAGCGCCUCAGCCCAAUGAAGACCUAGUCCUUUACAUUGCUGCAACCGACAGGGUUGUUUCGACGGCAAUAGUGGUCGAGCGAGACGAGCCAGGUCACGUCUACAAGGUCCAGAGACCCGUUUACUUCAUAAGCGAAUUCCUAAACGAGUCCAAGGCCAGAUAUCCGCAAAUACAAAAGCUCAUAUACGCCAUUCUAAUAACAUCGAGAAAGCUAAAGCAUUACUUUGACGGCCAUCAAGUCUUGGUAACCACCAGUUUCCCUCUUGGGGAUAUUCUGCGCAAUAAAGACGCCAACGGCAGAAUUGUAAAAUGGGCAAUGGAAUUAUGCCCAUUCUCCCUGGAGUUCCAGAGCCGCACCACAGUCAAGUCUCAGGCCCUGGUCGAUUUCAUCGCAGAGUGGACGGAUCUCAACGAGCCUCACGUCCACGAUGUCUCCGACCACUGGUUGAUGUUCUUCGACGGGUCCUUAAACAUCAACGGCGCUGGCGCUGGGAUACUUUUCGUGUCGCCUAACAAGGACAAACUGCGUUACGUCCUUAGGAUCCUUUUUCCGGCAUCAAACAACGUCGCCGAGUACGAAGCAUGCCUUCACGGCAUACGAUUAGCCGUUGAGUUGGGAGUCAAACGCCUUUAUGUCUAUGGCGACUCCGCUUUAGUUAUCAACCAGCUCAACAAGGAAUGGGACGCAACCCACGAGAAGAUGGAUCUCUACUGCAAAGAAAUUCGCAAGUGGGAAGCCAACUUCUAUGGCGUAGAGUACAUCCACGUGGUCCGGGACAAGAACCAGGCAGCAGAUGUGUUGUCAAAGUUAGGGUCAUCUCGGGCCCAGAUCCCGCGAGGUGUUUUUGUCUAGGAUAUCCAUGAGCCAAGCGUGGGCAAAGACCCAGCCGAAAAGCAACCUAUUAAGGCAAUGCUCAUAGACGACGUUACUCCGACAACCAGUAGUCGUGAUUGGCGCACCCCGUUCAUCAGAUAUAUAUCGGACGGGUCAGGCUUUCAGGAUAAAAUAGAGAACGAGCGCCUCAUUCGACGGUCAAAGAAUUACAUACUGGUGGACGGCAAACUUAUGCGAAAAAAUGCAAGUUCUGAAGUGCUGCUCAAAUGCAUAUCCCAGGAUGAUGGCAUCAAGCUCCUAGACGACAUACAUGCCGGAUCCUGCGGCAAUCAUGCUGCCUCCAGAACACUGGUCGGGAAAGCUUUCCGAGCAGGUAUUUAUUGGCCAACCGCUGUCAACGACGCAGAAAAACUGGUCCGACACUGUGAGGGAUGUCAGUUCUUCGCUAAAAGGACCCACGUACCUGCUCAUGAGAUUCAAACUAUCCCGUCGUCCUGGCCUUUCACCUGCUGGGGGCUCGACAUGAUCGGGCCAUUUAAACCGGCCCCUGGCAACUUCAAGUUCGUUUUCGUUUUAAUUGACAAGUUCUCAAAGUGGAUUGAAUACAUGCCACUGGUCAAAGCAACCUCCAAGAAGGCCGUGGAGUUCCUCAAUCAAAUCAUACACAGAUUCGGGAUCCCAAACAGUAUAAUCACCGACCUGGGUACUCAGUUCACUGGCACCACAUUUUGGGACUUCUGCGAUGACAGAGGCAUAGUCAUAAAAUACGUGUCAGUAGCUCACCCACGAGCAAAUGGCCAAGUUGAGCGUGCGAACGGAAUGAUUAUUGACGCCCUAAAGAAAAGGUUGUACACCGAGAACGACAGAGCACCUGGUCGAUGGAUGAAAGAGUUACCGGCUGUGGUCUGGGGUCUCUGAACUCAGGCUAGUCGGAACACGGGAGUGUCACCCUACUUCAUGGUUUACGGCACCGAGGCAGUUCUGCCGUCUGAUAUAACCUUUGGUUCUCCUAGAAUUGAAAACUUCGACCAGUCAACAGCCGACAACGCCAGGGAGCUCGAAAUUAACUGCAUGGAAGAAAAGCGUCUAAAUUCAUGUCUCCGAACAGCAAAGUAUCUUGCAGCAAUCAGACGGUACCACAACAGGAACGUCAAGGACCGUUCUUUCGUGGUCGGCGAUCUGGUACUCAGAUGGAAAACAAGCCAGGAAGGAAUGCACAAGCUAUCCACCCCCUGGGAAGGACCCUUUGUGGUCGCCGAAGUCACAUGACCCACAUCCUACAGAUUGGCAUAUCCAGACGGAACACGCGUGCCUAACUCUUGGCACAUAGACAAACUGCACCGAUUUUAUCCAUAAGUUCUAGUAACUUUUGCUUGUAAGUGUCUUAUAAUUGGCAAUAAUAAAAGUUUUUUCUUUUUGGCUAUACUUUGUUUACACGCAGAGCUUUCGGCGAAGAGCAACAAUGUCCUCUGCGACGGAAACUCUUAACGACUACGAAUCAAACACAGUGACACGUCACUCAGAUAACUUUACAGCGCUCAAAAUAAUAGUCAUGACAAAAGCAAACUUUAUUACAAACUUUACAUACAAAGUUUACAAUAAAUACCCCGACGGGAGGUCACUAGUCUACUCCUAAAGAAUACCCUACUGGCCUACUGCUCGGGCUGAUCACCCGCCUGGCCUUGCUGCCCGGACGAAGGCGUCGGGGCCACCGGCGCCUGGCUGGUCGAGACCGCAGGCGUCGACCACCCAUCUCCAGCAACAGACGCCCCUGACAACUCCCUGGCCGACCUGUCUGAACCCGGCUGGUCGGGGGGAGUGGCCGUCCCGCAUAGAUUAAUGUCGCCGAUCACCGUCGAUGACAAGUCCAGCAGACCGGCCCGAAGCUCGUCCGCCUCCUGUGGGCCGACCUCCUUGGGAUACCCCUUCUCCAGCCUAGACAAGUCGACCUGGGGGUAGUGGGCGCGCACCAUGCUGAGAAUAUGUGCGCCAGCGAACUACCCGGCGUCCUUCACGAACUGCUAGAGCCAAUCCCAGGCCCGUUGCGCCUUUUCGACAGGCGUCAGCUUUGGCGCGCGGGGCUGGCUUUCUAGAAGCUCGGGGCUGAUCAAGUCUAGGAUCGGGGAUACUCCUUUCCAGAGCCUAAUACAAUUAGUCUUCCAGGAGUCCCGAUCCUUGACCAGCUCGUCUAAGUGCAUCUUCGUAUUCACCUUGAGCACUGCAAAUCAAGGAGUAGGUCAGCACAAUGAAAAGAAUGUUGAGCAGCUAUACAAAAGGGUGGCGGCACGGCUACUUACCAGACAACUCCCGGUUCCUCUGGCCUAGCUCCUCGCCUGCUCGGCGCCCGGUUUCCAGCGCCCCAGCAAGUUCUUGUCCGAGCUGCUCCUUCUCCUGCCGAAGCCGCGCCACCUCCUCCUCCAAGCCUACGUGAAUAAUCUUUUGGUCAGCAAAAAUCAACCAACGCGGCUACAAACAGCUGCCUCGGAGUACGAGACUGACCUUCUCGCUGCCGAUACUGGUCGGCCAAGCGUCGGGUAAGCUCGAGACGGCGCUCUUCCUGAGCGCUCAUCUCGGCCACCUUCUCUCCAACUUCUGACCGAAGCCGGUCUACCUCCGUGGCCAGGGUUUUGUUCUCGGCCACAAUGCCUUCUAUUUGGUCGAAGCACCUCUUCCGGUACUUCGCCGUUUUCAUUGCGCCCUGCAAGAAAGAGUAUAUGUUGAACAUAGGAACACUGCACAUAGUUGUCGAGCAGCACAUAGGACCACUUACCUUAACAUCGUCCACGAGACGCUUAGCCGCGCAUUCCACCCUCGCGGCCUCCUCCGUCUCCGCGAGCUCCUCGUGUUCAAUAAAGUGGUCCCCGCGUUGGCGCCACACAUAGACGUGCUGGCGACCAUCAUGGGGACGACCCUAGACCUCCUCCACGUCAUCAUCAGAGGCCUCCUAGGGCUCCUCGUGUGCCGCACUGCCCCCGGCUGCAGACGAGAGCAUUACGGGUCCCUGGUCUAGGCCAGGGGAACCUACGGGCGAAGAGGCCCCUGCUCGGGGCGGUAUCGGGACCCUCGCUUCUUCGGCUGGAGGAGUCGGGACUCUGCCUUCCUCCUCCGCAACAGUACUCGGGGGAGGGGUCCUUGUCGCCUCCUCACCCCUCGGCGGAGUGCUCGCCGCGGCACUCGCCGGGGCGGUUUGUCUGUCAGCGCCUGUAGUAGCGGCCGCCACUGCAGGCUGCUCUGUGACCUGCGGCGCGGCGUCCUCAACGGCGGCAGCAGGCUCGGCUGUCCUCUGCUCCGCGACUUGGUCGGGGUUGACGUCCGACGCCGCGCAGAGCAAUGAAGCGAAAUUUUCAACAACAGUAAAAAAAAUGCCAAAAUACGUAAGUUGAACACUUACAGGUCUGAUCGACGGUGGGUUGCGGUGAACCUCCUCCUAGCCCUACCGGUCGGCGCCGGUGCCCCCGUUUCUGCGACGCGUGGUGCAGGAGGGUCGCUGGCCACCCGAUCAGUGGUGGCCGGCGUAUUAUCCGAACGGCUACAAGGCCUUCGGACCAGCGACGGUGCGGCCUCCUCCUCCUCAUCAUCGUCGUCGGUGAUCCGGACGAGCCGACGGCGUUUUGGCGCCUGGCUGCUCUCUGCCGGCAGCGUCGGCGCAGGUGAAGGAUCUGCUGCCAAUGGCCUCUUCCCAGUCACCCGGUCCUCGGUGCUCGAGGCGGGACGGACUUGCUCCUCUUCACUGCUGGUUUACCGAGUACACCGAGCAGCGUCCUCCUCCGGCGGAUCCUCCCCUGCGAGAUUUUCCAUCCCAGGCGCUAGUGACACAUACACUGUGCACCGGUCAACAUCUCCGAUCUACAAAAUUAACACAGACAAGUCAGCAGCUGACAAUAACAAACGCUAAGGAGGCACAAUCAGGAAGAAGCGAUACCUUAGGAGCUGGUCGUCCCAGCUUGAAAGCUUGCACCCGAUCACUACCUCGGAUGAAGCUCCCGUCAGCAAAGUUGAACAGCUCGUUCAACAACUGCUGCACCUCCGCCUUCUCCAAGAUCUCAGGUGUCAUCCUAGUCGGGUCUUGGCUUCCAGCAUACUCGUACGCCGAGUGCACCCUCUUCUGGCAGGGCAUCACCCGACGACAAACGAAGUUGCCGACCACACCCAGCCCGUCCAAACGCGACCAGUCGAUCAGUUUCAUCAGUUCCGCUACCUGGCCGGUGAACUCUGAACGGUCGGUCCAACUGACCCUCUUCUCAGGGAUGUACCCCACGUCGCAGAACGUGGAGCUGCCCGGCUCUUCCCUAACAUAGAACCACUUCCUGUACCAUUCGGUUAGGGAAGUGUUCCAUGGGCAGCUCAGAUAAUGGUUCUUCAUCCCGUCGCGAAGAAUGAGGUAUACUCCACCUGCAAUCUUGGAGCCUCCAACCGCUCCCUUCUUCCUCAAACAGAAAAGAUAACGAAAAAGAUCGAAGUGCGGCUCUAUGCCAACAUAGGCCUCGCAAAGAUGGAUAAAGGUGGAGAUGAGAAGGAUAGAGUUCGGGUGCAGAUUGCAAAUCCCGAUCUCAUAGUACAAGAGAGGCCUCUGAAGAAAAGGAUGAACAGGAACCACAAAACCCCUCUUAACGAAAUCCUCGAAUACUACGAUCUCACCGGCGCGGGGGUCGGGGUAGCUCUCCCCCUCUGGCGCCCUCCAGCCGCCGAGCUCUGGGCUGUGCAGUAGCCCCAUAUUGAUGAGGUCGCCAAGGGACUUCGAAGUGCUGCGGGAUUUCUUCCAUUCCUUGGCCAUCAGCUCGGCCAUCUUCUUGGAGUUGCUCUUCGCCAUUGGAGAUGCGGGAGUGGUUGCGAGCUAGGAGGGUGCAGGUGAUUGUAGAAGGCAAGAGCGGAAGGCUUGAAGGCAAUGGUAGGGUGAGCAAUGCGGGGGUAACUGUCGGGAUUUUAUAAACCACAACUCCACCCCUCCCACUUCCCGCAUUCUUGGGAAGUGGGCGGGACCAAUGGUGGACGCGGCGCUUCGGUUUCCAAAGAUUAUCAGCAAUUAAUGCGGCGGCAUUUUCGUACAAAUUGAUGGUUUCUUUUUCUCAAACCCUGCAAAGGGCGGCUGCACAGUUGCCAGGCGCAGCUUUUCACGCAACCAUCUGACAUUACGCCAAGAGGUCUCGUCACGUCAAUUAAUUACGUGGUAAGAUUUUUUCAAAAUAAAACAGACAAAAAUUGGAAGAAAGGUCAACAACUCAAGGUCUGCACCGACCACCGAGCACUGUAUGCUCGGGGACUGGUCGCCCAGUCUAUCAACUCGGUAACUCAAGGACUGCACCGACCACCGAGCACUGUAUGCUCGGGGACUGGUCGCCCAGUCUAUUAACUCGGUAAUUCAAGGACUGCACCGACCACCGAGCACUGUAUGCUCGGGGACUGGUCGCCCAGUCUAUUAAUUCGGAAAUUCAAGAAAUGCACCGACCACCGAGCACUUGAUGCUCGGGGACUGGCCGCCAAAUCCAUUGGUUUGGGAAUUCAAGGACUGCACCGACCACCGAUCACUUGAUGCUCGGGGACUGGUCGUCCAGUCUGUUAGUUCGGAAAUCUGUGGGCUGUAUCGAUCUCCGAGCAUUGUACACUCAGGGACUGGUUGACCAGCUCGUCAAAUUGAUAAGCCUAUCUUAUAGUAAAUGGACAUGAGACGCUCGGGGACUGGACAAUUUUAAUUUUUUAGACCUUGCUACAAGGUUCAUACUUCGCCUUCCAGCAAGCUCGGGGACUACAUCGGUACGAUGCAUCUGGCGAUGCAUCUCAGAUUCAAAGUUACUUUGAAGAUUUUUCUUUUGACCCUGGCACCACGUGCCUACGUCACCUAUUACCAGGCUCGGGGACUAAGUGGGCACACUUCACCUUGCGGUGAACAUGCUUGCUUUUUUUUGAAGAUCUGUACUUUUCGGAAAAGUAAAGUGGGCACACUUCACCGGAAAAGAAAUAUUUUUUCUCAAGAACACCAUGCAUUCUUCGAACAAUUGGCUUCUUCGAUGAUGAUGUUGAUCAAAUAUAUUUAGAUUUGAUCAAAAUAUCGUUGCAACUGUCUGGACAAUUUUCAUGUUGAUUGAAGACGUCAAGUUUCAUUGGUCGAAGAAGCUCAAGACGGCGUGUUACUUCACAAUACAUGGUGCUCGGGGACUAGCUGUGGGGGUAUAAACCCCUAUACCCUUACGGCCAGACUUGGGCCAGGAGACUUGGCCCAUUACGAGACAAAUUCAAAGGCUUGAUCCGAUAGCUCAGAAUUUCGCGCAAAGAAACAAGACGUGGAGAUCAAGCAGGAUUCUAGUCGGUUAGAAUAGGAAUUGAUAUCGAACUAUCUAUGGCAAUUGUAACCGACUAGGAUUAGUUUCCAGAUCUGUAACCCUGCCCUCUGGACUAUAUAAGGAGGGGCAAGGGACCCCCCUAGGACACAUUAUUCUCUCAAUCCAAUACAAUCAGACGCAAGACGUAGGUAUUACGCCAACUCAGCGGCCGAACCUGGAUAAAAAGCUUGUCCGUGUCUUGCGUCACCAUCGAGUUCGUAGUUUGCGCACCGUCUGCCGAUAAACUACUACCGUGGGCAUACCCCAAGGUAGACUGCCGACCAGCUUUCGUCGACAAGAAGAGGCUUCCUCACCUCACCACCUGUUCUCACAGCACCUCAGCCCAAUGAAGACCUACUCCUUUACAUUGCGGCAACCGGCAGGGUUGUCUCCAUGGCAAUAGUGGUCGAGCGAGACGAGCCAGGUCACGUCUACAAGGUCCAGAGACCCGUUUAUUUCAUAAGCGAAGUCUUAAAUGAGUCCAAGGCCAGAUACCCACAAAUACAGAAGUUCAUAUACGCCAUCCUAAUAACGUCGAGGAAGCUAAAGCACUACUUCGACGGCCAUCGGGUCUUGGUAACCACCAGUUUCCCACUUGGGGAUAUUCUGCGCAAUAAAGACGCCAACGGCAGAAUUGUAAAAUGGGCAAUGGAGUUAUGCCCAUUUUCCCUGGACUUCCAGAGCCGCACCACAGUCAAGUCUCAGGCCCUGGUCGAUUUUAUAGCAGAGUGGACAGAUCUUAACGAGCCUCCCGUUUCCGAUGUCUCCGACCACUGGUCAAUGUUCUUCGACGGGUCCUUGAACUUCAUCGGCGCCGGCGCUGGGAUACUUUUCGUGUCGCCUAACAAGGACAAGCUACGUUACAUCCUUAGGAUCCUUUUCCCAGCGUCAAACAACGUCGCCGAGUACGAAGCAUGCCUGCAUGGCAUACGACUAGCCGUUGAGUUGGGAGUCAAACGCCUCUACGUCUACGGCGACUCCGCUUUAGUUAUCAACCAGCUCAAUAAGGAAUGGGACGCAACCCACGAGAAGAUGGAUCUCUACUGCAAAGAAAUCCGCAAAUGGGAAUCCAACUUCUAUGGCAUAGAGUACAUCCAUGUGGUCCGGGAUAAGAACCAGGCUGCGGAUGCGCUGUCAAAGUUAGGGUCGUCUCGGGCUCAGAUCCCGCGAGGUGUUUUCGUCCAGGACAUCCAUGAGCCAAGUGUGGGCACAGACCUGGUCGAAAAGCAACCUAUUGAGGCAAUGCUCAUAGACGACGCUACUCCAACAACCAGCAGCCAUGAUUGGCGUACACCGUUCAUCAGAUAUAUAUCGGACGGGUCAGGCUUUCAGGAUAAAACGGAGAACGAGCGCCUCAUUCGACGAUCAAAGAAUUACAUACUAGUGGACGGCAAACUUAUGUGAAAAAAUGCAAGCUCUGAAGUGCUGCUCAAAUGCAUAUCCCAAGAUGAUGGCAUCAAGCUCGUAGACGACAUACACGCCGGAUCCUGCGGCAACCAUGCCGCCUCCAGAACGCUGGUCGAGAAGGCUUUCUGAGUAGGUUUUUACUGGCCAACCGCGGUCACCGACGCAGAAAAACUGGUCCGACAUUGUGAAGGAUGCCAGUUCUUCGCCAAAAGGACCCACGUACCUGCUCAUGAGAUUCAAACUAUCCCGUCAUCUUGGCCUUUUGCCUGCUGGGGCCUCGACAUGAUCGGGCCAUUUAAACCGGCCCCCGGCAACUUCAAGUUCGUCUUCGUGUUAAUCGACAAAUUCUCGAAGUGGAUUGAAUACAUGCCACUGGUCAAAGCAACCUCCGAGAAGGCUGUGGAAUUCCUCAAUCAAAUCAUACACAGAUUCGGGAUCCCCAACAGUAUAAUCACCAACCUGGGCACUCAGUUCACUGGCACUACAUUCUGGGACCUCUGCGAUGACAGAGGCAUAGUCAUAAAAUACGUGUCAGUAGCUCGCCCACGAGCAAACGGUCAAGUCGAGCGCGCGAAUGGAAUGAUCAUUGAUGCCCUAAAGAAAAGGUUGUACACCGAGAAUGACAGAGCGCCUGGUCGAUGGAUGAAAGAAUUGCCAGCCGUGGUCUGGGGCAUCCGAACACAGGCCAGUCGCAAUACAGGUGUAUCACCCUACUUCAUGGUUUAUGGCUCUGAGGCAGUGCUUCCAUCUGAUGUAACCUUCAGAUCUCCAAGAGCUGAAAACUUUGAUCAAUCAACGGCUGACAACGCUAGGGAGCUCGAAAUCAACUGCAUGGAGGAAAAGUGUCUAAUUUCAUGUCUCCGAACAGCAAAGUAUCUCGAAGCCAUCAGGCGCUAUCACAACAGGAACGUCAAAGACCGUUCUUUCAUGGUCGGUGACCUGGUACUCAAGUGGAAAACAAGCCAGAAAGGAACGCACAAGUUAUCCACGCCUUGGGAAGGACCCUUUGUGGUCGCCGAAGUCACACGUCCUACAUCCUACAGACUGGCGUAUCCAAAUGGAACACGCGUGCCUAAUUCCUGGCACAUAGACAAGCUACGCCGUUUUUAUCCAUAAGUUCCAGUACCUUUUGCUUGUAAGUUUUUUAUAAUUAGCAAUAAUAAAGGUUUUCCUUUUUCGCUAUACAUUGUUUACACGCAGAGCUUUCGACGAGCACAACAAUCUUCCUCUGCAGCAAAGACCCUUAACUACCACCAAUCAAACACGGUGAUACAUCACCCAGAUAACAUUACAGCGCUCAAAAUCAUGGUCAUGACAAAAUCAAACUUUAUUACAAACUUUACAUACAGAGUUUACAAUAAACACCCCGACGGGCGGUUACUAGUCUACUCCUACAGACUAUCCUACAGGCCUACUGCUCGGGCUGAUCAGCCGCCUGGCCUUGCUGCCCGGACGAAGGGGUCGGGGCCACCGGCGCCUGGCUGGUCGAGACCGCAGGUGUCAACCGCUCAUCUCUGGCAAUAGACGCCCCCGACAACUCCCUGGCCGAUCUGUCUGACCCCGGCUGGCCGAGGGGAGUGGCCGUCCCGCAUAGGUUGAUGUCGCCGAUCACCGUCGAUGACAAAUCUAGCAGGCCCGCUCGAAGGUCGUCCGCCUCCUGCAGGCCGACUUCCUUGGGGUACCCCCUCUCCAGCCUGGACAAGUCAACCAGGGGAUAGUGGGCGCGCACCAUGCUGAGGACAUGCGCGCCGGCGAACUCCCCGGCGUCCUUAACGAACUGCUGGAGCCAAUCCCACGCCCGUUGCGCCUUCUCGACUGGCGUCAGCUUCGGCGCGCGGGGCUGGUCUUCAGGAAGCUCGGGGCUGAUCAAGUCCAGGACCGGGGCUACUCCUUUCCAAAGCCUAAUGCAGUUAGUCUUCCAGGAGUCCCGAUCCUUGACCAGCUCGUCUAAGUGCUUCUUGGUAUUCACCUUGAGCACUACAAACAAAGCAGGAGGUCAGUUUAAGAACACUGAAAGGAACGUUGAGCAGCCAAAUAAAAAAAGGGGGAGCGGCACGGUCAUUACCAGACAAUUCUCGAUUCCUGUGGCUUAGCUACUCGCCUGCUCGGCACCCGGCCUCUAGCGCCCCGGCAAGCUCUUGGCCGAGCUGCUCCUUCUCUUGCCGAAGGCGCGCGACCUCCUCCUCCAAGUCUACAUGAACAAUCCCCUGGUCACCAAACCUAACCACGCGGUUACAUACAGCUACCCGGGGUAUGUGACUAACCUGUCCGCUGCCGAUACUGGUCGGCUAAACGCCGAGUGAGCUCGAGACGACGCUCUUCCUGAGCGCUCAUCUCGGCCACCUUCUCCCCAACCUCCGACCGCAGCGGGUCCACCUCCGCGGACAGGGCCUUGUUCUCGGCCACGAUGCCCUGUAUUUGGUCGAAGCACCUCUUCCGGUACUUCGCCGUUUUCAUUGCGCCCUGCAAGAAGAACACAUGUUGACCAAGCAAAACAGCACAAAAGCGUCGAGUAGCAGAAAGGACCACUUACCUUAACCUCGUCCACGAGACGUUUGGCUGCGCGCUCCACCCUUGCGGCCUCUUCCGUCUCCGCGAGCUCCUCGUGUCCGAUGAAGUAGUCCUCGCGUUGGCGCCACACGUAGACGUGCUGGCGGCCAUCACUGGGACGACCUUCAAUCUCCUCCACGUCGUCGUCAGAGGCCGCAUGGGUUUCCUCGUUCGCCGCGCUACCACCGGCUGUGGUCGCUGGCAUCACUGGCCCCUGGUCCAGGCCCGGGGAGCCUGCGGACGAAGAGGCUCCUGCCCGGGGCGUCGUUGGGACUCCCCUCUCUUCGGCGGGGGGAGGAGUCGGGACUCUGUCUUCCUCCUCCACGAUGCUACUUGGAGGAGGGGUCCUCGUAGCCUCCUCAUCCCUCGUCGGGGUGCUCGCCGUGGUCCUUGCUGAGGCCGGGAGCUCCUCGGCGCUCUCAGCCACGGUUGCUGCCGCGGGCUGCUCCGUGGUCUGCAGCGCAACGUCCCCAGCAGCAGCGGCAGGUUCGGCCACCUUCUGGCCAGCAACGUGGUCAGGAUCGACGUCCGACGCCGCGCUAACAAUAAGACAACAUUUAAACAGUGUCAAAACGUAGCAACAAAGACGCAAAACAUCACAGCACGAAAGUAAGAAUGCAAACUUACAGGUCAGAGCGCCGGUGCGUUGCGGUGAACCGCCUCCUAACCCUACCGGUCGGUGCCUACGCUCCCGUCUCUACGACAUGCGUCGGCUCGAUGUGCGGAGCAGGCGGGUCACUGGUCACCGGACCAGUGGUGGUCGGCGCAACGUCCAGACAACUGCGAGGCCUCCGGACCAACGACGGCACGGCCUCCUCCUCCUCGUCGUUGUCGUCGGUGAUCCGGACGAGCCAACGACACUUUGGCGCCUGGCUGCUCUCUGCGGGGAGGGGUCUGCUGCCAAUGGCCUUUUCCCCGCCACUCUUUCCUCGGUGGUCGGGGCACGGUGGGUCUGCUCCUCCUCACUGCUGGUGUACCGAGUACACCGAACAGCGUCGUCCUCUGGCGGAUCUUCCCCCGCGGGAUUCUCCAUCCCAGGUGCCUGUGAUACAUACACUGUGCACCGGUCAACGUCUCCGAUCUGCAACGGCAACAAAGACAAGUCAGCAACUAGGAAGAGGCAAGAACUAAGGAGGUACAAUCAGUCGGUAACAUUACCUUAGGAGCUGGUCGCCCCAGCUUGAAGGCCUGCACCCGAUCACUACCACGGACGAAGCUGCCGUCCGCAAAAUUGAACAGCUCGUUCAACAGCUGCUGCACUUCUGCCUUCUCCAAGACCUCAGGCCUCAUCCUGGUCGGGUCCUGGCUUCCAGCGUACUCGUACGCCGAGUGCACCCUCUUCUGGUAGGGCAUCACCCGACGACAGACGAAGUUGCCGACCACCCCUAGCCCAUCCAAACGCGACCAGUCGAUCAGCUUCAUCAGGUCCGCUACUUGACCUGCGAACUCUGGGCGGUCGAUCCAACUGACCCUCUUCUCGGGGAUGUACCCCACGUCGCAGAACGUGGAGCUGCCCGGCUCUUCCCUGACGUAGAACCACUUCUUGUACCAAUCGGUGAGAGAAGUGUUCCAUGGGCAGUUUAGAUAUCGGUUCUUCAUCCCGUCAUGAAGAUUGAGGUAUACUCCACCUGCAAUCUUUGAGCCUCCAACCGCCCCCUUUUUCCUCAAACAGAAAAGAUAACGGAAAAGAUCGAAGUGCGGCUCUAUUCCAACAUAGGCCUCGCACAGAUGGAUGAAAGUGGAGAUGAGAAGAAUUGAGUUCGGGUGCAGAUUGCAGAUCCCGGUCUCAUAGUAUAGAAGAAGCCCCUGGAGAAAAGGAUGGACAGGAACCCCAGAACCCCUCUUGAGAAAAUCUUCGAACACUACAAUCUCACCAGCACGGGGGUCGGGGUAGCUCUCCCCCUCUGGCGCCCUCCAGCCGCCGAGCUCUGGGCUGUGCAGUAGCCCCAUGUCGACGAGGUCGUUGAGGGACUUCACAUUGCUUCGGGACUUUUUCCAUUCCUUGGCCAUCAGCUCGGCCCUCUUCUUGGAGUCGCUCUUCGCCAUUGACGUUGCAGGAGUGACUGUGAGUUGGGAGGAUUGACGGUGGUUGAAGAAAGCAAGAACGGAAAGUUUGAAGGCAAUGGCAGGGUAAGCAAUACGGGGGCACCAUCAAGCUUUUAUAAGUAACAACUCCACCCCUCCCACUUCCCGCAUCCUUGGGAAGUGGGCGGGCCCAACGGCGGACGCGGCGCUUCGGCUUCCAACAAUUACCAGCAGUUAAUACGGCGGCCUUUUUGCAUAAUUAAUGGUUUCCUUUUCUCGAACCGCGCAAAGAGCGGCUGCACAGUUACCGCGCCCACCUUUUCAUGCAACCACCUUACAGCGCGUCAGGGGGUCUCGUCACAUCACCCAUUUAUGUGAUGAGACAUUUUUCAAAAUAACAGACGAAAAUUGGUGGUGGAUCAAACGUUCCUGGGAACUACACCGACCACCCAGCACUGUAUGCUCGGGGACUGGUCGUCCAUUUUUUCGUGUAUGGAGACCUGGGGACUGCACCGACCACCGAGCACUGUAUGCUCGAGGACUGGUCGCCCAGUCUGCCAGCUUGAAGAUCUGGGGACUGCCCCGACCACCGAGCACUGUAUGCUCGGGGACUGGUCGACCAGUCUGCCAGUUUGAAACUCUGGGUACUGCACCAACCACCGAGCACUACACGCUCGGGGACUGGUUGAUAAGUCUAUCCGAUGGCAAAUGAGCAUGAGAUGCUCGGGGACUGGAUAACUUGAAUUUUUUAGACUUUGCUACAAGGCUCAUACUUUGCCUUCCAGCGAGCUCGGGGACUACAUCGGUACGAUGCAUCUGGCGAUGCAUCUCAGUUCAGAAUUUCUUUGAUGACUUUUCUUUUGACCCUGGUACCACGUGCCUACGUCACCUACUACCAGGCUUGGGGACUAAGUGGGCACACUUCACCUUGCGGUGAAUAUGCUUGCUUUUUGAAAGGCUAUACUUUUCAGAAAAGUAAAGUGGGCACACUUCACCAGGAAAGAAAUCUUUUUUGAUUAAGAGCACCAUGCAUUCUUCGAACAACCUGCUUCUUUGAUGCCAAUAUCGGUCAACUAUCUUCGAAGUUGGUCAAAAUGUCAUUACGACUGUUUAGGCAACUUUCCUGCUUAUUGAAGACGUCAAGUUUCACUGGUCGAAGAAGCUCAAGACGGCGUGUUACUUCACAAUACAUGGUGCUCGGGGACUAGCUGUGGGGGUAUAAACCCCUAUACCCUUACGGCUAGACUUGGGCCAGGAGGCUUGGCCCAUUACGAGACAAGUUCGAGGCUUGAUCCGAUAGCUCGGAGUUUCGCGCAAGGAAACAAGACGUGGAGAUCAAGGAGGAUUCUAGUCGGUUAAAAUAGGAAUUGAUAUCGAACUAUCUAUGGCAGUUGUAACUGAUUAGGAUUAGUUUCUAGAUCUGUAACCCUGCCUUCCGGACUAUAUAAGGAGAGGCAAGGGACCCCCCUAGGACAUCAUUAUUCUCUCAACACAAAUCAAUACAACAAGACACAAGAUGUAGGUAUUACGCCAGCUCGGCGGCCGAACCUGGAUAAAAAGCUUGUCCGUGUCUUGCGUCACCAUCGAGUUCAUAGCUUGCGCACCGUCUACCGAUAAACUACUACCGUGGGUAUACCCCAAGGAAGACUGCCGACCAGCUUUCAUCGAUAGUGUGGGAUCACAAAGGUGGAAGGACUAAACAUGUUGAAUCGAUUGGGUUGGUUAAUCUAGAGUUGUAAAUCAUACAUGUUUGUCUCUUUUAUUCAUGUGAACGCUAGAAAUAAGGAGAAACUUACAAAAGUGAUAGUCAAGUACCUUAAGAUGUUACCUUACUUGAAGAGUGAUGGUACAGUAUCACCUUGUGGAAGCUUUCCUUUCUUAGCGGUUGUGCAUCGUGUUUGUGGCACCCUCCAUGGAUCAUCUCUUGUGAGCUAUGCCUUCCUUGUGUAAAUUGUUAACCUUCAUGUGUCUCUCUCUUUGUCUCCAAUGUGGGUGUAUCUCAGGACUUCUGUUGACGGUCCUUAAGUAUCAAAUUUAACUAUCAAAUAAACAAAGAAAAGGAUCCAAAUGAAAUCAACAUCGAGACUUAGGGUUUUAUCUGACAGAAUUCCACGAGUUUUGGUGUUUGUCUAUUUUUGCAGGGGGUUAUCAGGAAAUAAGGAAGAAAGGCCCACACGUCAGGAUUACAUAGAUAUAUCAACGUGCCGCGCAAUUAUCUUACAUCUAGAAGACUCCAGAAGCCACGGGAAGGAAGCGGAGACCGAACGGAGUCAGGGACAGGGCGCCCGCCCAAGUCCUUAGGGCGCCCGCCCAUCUUUUUCGGCCAAUCACGCUCAAUCUCGCGGAUUAUGCUCCACCGACCUAAAGGAUCAAGAAUAACCGUUCAAUCAAUGUCGGUUUGAUCCGACGGCCCAGGUUCACUUGAGGGGACUAUAAAACCAGACCCCCUGGCCCCUGGAGGAGGCACCCCUUGAUCAUUAUUCAUUAUUCAUAGACAGAGCAAAAGCUAGGGUUUAGAGAUGAGAGCUCUCCUCUCUUCUCUAAACUAGAGUAGAUCUAGAUAGUAGCGAGAUAGAGAGCGAAGGAGGAUUAGAGGAGAGGCCGGGCUAUCGGUUCUUCCUCCGGUUGUACUUCACCAUGAUCAAGCUCUAAUCAAGCUUGCUCAUGGGAUGACUCUGGUACUCUACUUCUAAUUCAUUAUGCAAUUACUAAUCAUGUAUGUUCUAGUUUAAAACUCUUUUGAGUACUUCUAAUCUAUAGGACCCUAUAGGUUAGAGUUGUAGUAUAGGUGUAAGCGUGGUGCUUAGACCUAGAUUACUUGUGGAUAUCCCCUGACUAGCUGGAUCGUGUGGUAGGCCGCGUAGGUGACAGUUACGUUGGUCCCCUGUAGUCCACCUCUCGUUAGCAGGACGGGUAGGGUUUAUCGGCCUAUGGAUAAGCAUCCUUUGUGGUGUACUCUUAUCACGUGGUUCGUCCCAGACAUAGACAUACCCCUUUGAAGUAGAGAAACCAUAGUUAUCCUCUCUAUUCUGCUACCAUCACCCAUAUACUAGAAUUGCUCUACUCUCUAUUCCCAUAUUAUCACCUAUUGUUAUCUUACCUUUAAUAUUGUUCUUAUUCGAUUCUAUCAUCUUUCCUAUUUACACCUAUCUAUCUAUCUUGGUUAAGUUAGAGCGUAGUUGGUUCUCCCGUUUCCCUGUGGAUACGAUAAAAUCUUUAACCGGGUAAAAGCUUCAACGGUAUACGUGCGCUUGCGGAUUAUCUGUGUGCGUAUAAAUACAAUAGUACACUCUAGUGCCAUGCUGGGGAUGACAACCUAGUAUUCAAGUGGUGUUAGCAAGUGUCAACAAGCAUUUUUGGCGCCGUUGCCGGGGAAACGGUUGCUGAGUUGACUACGAACUAGUUUAAUCAUUUUAUAAAAAAUAAAUAUAUAUAACAAAAAAAAAUAUUUUCCUUUUAUCCUUUGCCUCAUCUCUGCUAAUCUUUCUUCUUAUCUAAUCCUUGAUCUCUGGUCUAUCAUGAAUUCAAACAUGUCUAUCUAUGAAUUUCAUAUACCUUCGGGCACACAUCUCGAACCACCAAAAUCUUCAAAGCAUAUCAUAGCAUCUAGUUUUGAGAUAGACCCCGAAUACAUAGAAUUUAUUCAAAAACAACCUUUCUCAGGAAAAGGUGAGGAAAACCCAUACACACACCUAAGAGAGUUUUAUCGAGUCUGUGACCUCCUUCGCAUAGAAGGCAUGUCCGAUGAGACCCUUAAAUGGAAGCUCUUUCCGUUCUCUUUAACGGGAAAAGCUAGACAUUGGUAUAAACUCAAAGUAGGGAGUGUUCAUGGAGAUUGGAAGGAGUUAUAUAGUAGUUUUCUUUCUAAAUAUUUUCCAAUCUCCAAAGUGGUGGAACUUCGGCGUGAGAUUCUUUCUUUUAGACAACUGGAAGAAGAAUCUCUUGGCAAAUCAUGGGACCGCUUUAUUAACCUUACUCUCACUGGCCCAAAACUUUCUAUUCCAGAAGAAGUUCUUCUAAUUCACUUUUUUGAGGGCCUUAGUAGGAAAAAUAAGCAAACCCUUCAUGCGGCCUCUGGAGGAUCUUUCCACCACCUAUCCACUAGUGAAGCUUGGAAUUUGAUUGAUUUAAUGAGCGGAAAGUCUCCUAGCUUUUAUAUCCCUGAGAAAGAGAAAGAACCUGUUCCUAGACAAGAAGAAGAAGUUUCGAUAGCCAGAUCACAACCACUUCAAUCCCAAACUUUAGCUAUCGAUCCUAAACCAUCAAUACCCCAAAAUUCUCCAAGGGAGGAAGGAAUUCCGACCUUUAAUCUUUUAGAUGCUGAUGGUUUAGACUUCUGGUUCUAUAAGAGACCUUCAAGCAGGGAUAAUUCAAAUCAUUGCAAUAAUGUUUCUCUUAGAGAAUGUCCUGGUUCCUAUCAUGAAGAAGUCGAGGAUGACAUAUCAAGUGAAGGAGAGCUAAGCCAUAUAGACAAUUCUAUCUACUCCCCUUCCAUGUUCACAAGUUCUAAAUCCAUCCUUGACCUUAGAGAUCCCUCUUAUCCCUCUUCUUUUCAGUCUCAUGAUGAUCCUAGCAAUUCACCAAGACGACCAAACCAUAGGAGUCAUGAAGACCAUAAGGAUGGCAUGUCAAGUAAUGCCAUAGAAGGAGAGCUAAGCCAUAUAGAAAAUUCUAACACCUCCCCUAUUUUGAUCACAAGUUCUAAAUGGCUAGAAUGUGUAGAAUGGAUGGAUAAGGAAGAAGCCUUAAUAGGUUCUAACUUUGGCUCAAUUUCAAAUGGUGAGUUCUUGACUCCCUUUGAAGAUGAGAUUCAUCCAACUACAGAAGAGGACAUAGGUGAGACCAAUCCAGGAGAAACUCCGAACAUUCAGAUUAGAGACGAAGAUAACAUUAAUGAGCAUGGAAUUUAUUUCAUAGCCACUUCGUUUACUCCAUGCUCAUAUGCAACAUCUUCCCAAUCUAUUGGUCUCUCCGACAUCACCACACUUGAGAUCUCCAACCCCCUCUUCCUUUCUAUUUAUAAAAACUUUAAAAAGGCGGUUGUCGAUGCAUAUGUCUAUAAUAAAUAUUGCAGAUCUCGUUGAGUUGAUCUAGAUAUAGGUUGGCGUCGGAGGGGAAACCACUUCGCCAACAUGAACUGAUGGUUUCCCAAGGACAAGCUCAGUGUCUUAAAAUAAGCAUUGAUCAGAUCGUAACAUGAGCUUUUAAUUAUUUGCAACAUUACCUUGUGUAUUGAGCAUAUAAGGAUAAUUGUAAAAAAAUAUUCCUUCGGGUAUUCUUGUCACUAACCUUUCUAGGAUUGGAGCAAGAAGAUCGGAUGAAUGACAAGCACAAGGUAUGUCCAACCAAUCAUCAUACAACAUUGAAUUAAAUUCAUCCAAACUUGAAUUUUGCAAAAUUCAAGCUUAGGGGAGUACUUUACAUAAAAACAUCCUUUGCCAUGUUGCUAUGCUAGUUGUCCCUACCUUUGAGACAUGCUCAAUUUGUUAAAUACUAAUCACACUACUUCAUCUCCACUUGAGUAGAUCUCUAUAAAUGCUGCCAUGCUACCUUUGUCUAUUUACUAGCAAGUGUUGGUUUGGAAGUACUCGCCAUACUUCCAUUGGCAUUUAAAUUAAGUAUGGUGCUUAGGUUGAAUAGCCUUCCUUAAUCUGAUUAGACAUGGAGUCUAGUUUGGUUAUUGAACUAAAAAAACUGCUUGAGUAGAUAUUGGUAUAUUUUGUCGGACUAACCCCUGCAGAAAAACUUUCGAUAUUGAUUUGGGAAGUCCUGAGAUAAACUCACAUCAGAGACGAAGAAAGUGACACAUGAAGUUUAACAAUUUGCACAAGAAGGACAUAGCUCAUUAAUCAUAGAGAGAUGAUCCAUGGAGGGUGCCACAAACACGAUGCACAACCGCUAAGAAAGGAAAGCUUCCACAAGAUGAUACUGUACCAUCACUCUUCGAGCAAGGUAACAUCUUAAGGUACUUGACUAUCACUUUUAUAAGCUUCUCCUUGGUUCUAGCGUUCAUAUAAAUAAAAGAGACAAACGUGUAUGAUUUACAACUCUAGAUUAACCAACCCAACUGAUUAAACAUGUUUAGUCCUUUAAUCCUUGUUCUUAGUACUACCUCCAUGAUCCCACACUCCUAAUCAUAUGAGCUAAAAUGUUACACAUUCAAUCAUUGAGAGAUAUAAAGAAAAAGACAUAUACAUAGAUAGAUUAUCUUUCCAUAAGGUUGAGCGAUCUGAAAAAUGUUAUAAGUGCUACACUCAUGAACUUAUCAUCCAUCAACUUGUCUUGCUCACUAUGCUUAAGGUUAGAGAAGAACAAAUACACUUUUGGUUCUGUUGGUGUUUUCCACCAACAGGGCCCAUGCACUUGAUCUCUGCCUUGUCUCUAUGAGCAGGUACACUACGAGCACAAACACACUGAGCAAGAUACUGCUAACACCGCACUUCGAACUGCUGGGCAAACGAAGAACAUGGGUGAGACACCGUAUUAAAAGGUGCAGACGUCAAGGUCCGCACCUGAAUCAAAUGACGCACCUGAAGAAUGAACACGGUGAGAAGUCUUGUCAAGAAGACUUAAAACAUUGAACCCUCGCCGAAAGGUAAGAUUGGUAGUUAUCCAUAUUUAUCCUUUCUGCAUUCCCUUUUCCCUUUAAUUAUUUACUUUCCAUAAAUAGAUUAUUAGUUAAUCAUGCUAUCUUGAAAAGAAAAUAAAAAUGUUAAAAAAAUACUAAGCCCCAUGUGAGUAUACGAGUGGCAUAAAACCCAUAAGUACCUUCACUGUGGUGGCAUAAAAAUAAAUAUUUCUUUUUUACUUUAUAAAAUAAAAAUAUAAAAACAGGGAGUAAUAUUUAUUGAGGAAGCUCAACGUGAUGAAGGCUAGAUAUUUAUGCUAACACUUAAUUAGUUCCACAAGCUUUGUUGUCUAUUUGAGCUCCACAAAAUUUAAGAAUCAAGAAGACUAGCAGAUGGAGGACAUUCUAAUCGCUGUCAGAAUGCUGCUGACUUUCAAAUACACCUCUGCCACCUGCUAGCUACAUCAAGAGAAAUUACGUCAAAAUUCAGCUUGGGGGAGAGCACCCCUAUUUAUCUCACUAAGUAUUUCUACCUAUCUUUAUACUUAUAUUAUAUUAGAAUAUUAAAAUACAUAAACUAUGAAAAACCAAAAAAAAAAGAUUUUAUGCUUAUAUAUAUAUAUAUAUAUAUCUUUUCUUGGUUUGCUAAAUAAAUAAAUAAAUAAAUAAAGUUUGCUAUGAAUCUUAAUAAUAAAACUCUAGCAUGGAUAUGAUGAAUAGUUGCUCUGCCUAAUUUGCAAAUUUAAAGUUCUCUCUCAAGUUUAGACAUAACUGUUAUAAUUUAAAGCUUGCUCUAGAUCUAAACUUGUGGGAUGAAAACUUGAUCUGAAAUCUAAGUUGUUAACGGAUAAGAUAUGGGAAGGUUGAGCUGCUGUUUAUCUGUUUCUAGAGAUGCUAGAAUUCUGGAGAAUUUUAUCUUUGAAAAUCUUUAAAAUGUUGCAUGAUGAGUUCCUGUAUGAUGAGAGUUUAAAUUCCUACCACAGCCAUAUAUACAUGCUUGCUAGACUUUGAGCCACACAUUUAUUUACUGCUUAUGAGCAUUGAGUGUGGUCAAGCUGUGUAGACCCUUAGGAGCUUGUCAUGUGGUUAAAUCAAGAUUCACUUGCACGUUCACUCAUAUAUGCUACUUCUACUCUGGAAGUACCAUCCACAUAUAUCCAUCCAUUUCCAUCUCCAGUUUCACCCAAAAUCAUUCUACUCCUAAUCCGGGAGAGAAUAGCCAAAAACAUUUUCCUAUCCCUGUUAUUCCCUGUGAAAUAAAUGCUCCAGUUAUUUUGGUUACUACCACUUGCUACAUUAUUUCAGGAGAUGAGUGCUCUAAAAAAAAGAUAAGAAAAGAAAAAAAAAUAUAAUAAUAAACGAGGAAAUAAAAAGGGGCAAGUGCCUGGAACCUCGAAAGAAAAGAAAAAGUGAGACGAGAGGUAAAAAUGGACAAGUGUCCGACAGUAGAAUUAGGGGUACAAGAUACCCACCUGAGAGGAAAGAAAAAGAAGAGCAUCUCAUUCUCCUCAUAAAGUUUCAAAAAGCAAGGAAGGUAUGUAUCCCCUCAUAAGAGCAAAAGUAGAAUUAGACUUUCACCAUUAUUAUCACCAUCAUCAUUAUACACCAUUCAUUCGCCACACAUGCACAUCUUGAUUUGGCUUAUUGAUUUGUUUCUUUGGAUCCAUGGUUUGACUAUACAAUAAAUGUCUUGUAAGUAUGUAUAUUUUAUCUCCCACCUAUGAGCUCCAGAUAUUAAAGCCUUAUUAGAGUAGGGUGGGAGAGAAGGCAAUGUCACUAUGCCUUAUACCACAAAUACCACAUAUUUUGAGAGAAGGCAUAUACCAUCACUGCCUUGGUAAGGAUCCAGAAAUACCACAAAAGAGAGAUAUGAGAGAGUCAUACAAAGGAAUCUCUGAGUUUUAUUUGGAAAUCUGCAAAAACUCCAGAGCUAUAGCUGAUCAAGAAUAAGCGACAUGGCACUUGACUGGACUGUUCUAUCUUUUAACCACUCAAGACAGAAGUGACGGUUACAAGUCCCAUGGUGAAACAUAAAGUAAGUAAGUUUUAAGUCUUGAUAGUUUACUCUAACUCAGAGAUGAGACCUCAUUUAAAAGCAUGUGUACCGUCAAAUUUUAAAGAUAUUGCAACAACUUAUGAUCCAUAGCUGAGUCUAUCCUUGCUCAGGGACGAGCAAGAGGUAAGCUUGGGGGAGUUUGUUGACGGUCCUUAAGUAUUAAAUUUAACUAUCAAAUAAACAAAGAAAAGGAUCCAAAUGAAAUCAACAUCGAGACUUAGGGUUUUAUCUGACAGAAUUCCACGAGUUUUGGUAUUUGUCUAUUUUUGCAGGGUGUUAUCAGGAAAUAAGGAAGAAAGGCCCACACGUCGGGAUUACAUAGAGAUAUCAACGUGCCGCGCAAUUAUCUUACAUCUAGAAGACUCCAGAAGCCACGGGAAGGAAGCGGAGACCGAACGGAGUCAGGGACAGGGCGCCCGCCCAAGUCCUUAGGGCGCCCGCCCAUCUUUUUCGGCC